rnacentral:lncRNA from 1 species
UUUUAGGUUAGCGCGUAGUUGGGCACCAUAACCCGGCUUCCGGUUCAUCCCGCAUCGCCAGUUCUGCUUACCAAAAAUGGCCCACUUGGGCACCCGAUUUCGUGGCACGGCUCACCAAAGCAGCCGCGCCAUCCUACCUAUUUAAAGUUUGAGAAUAGGUCGAGGACGUUGUGUCCCCAAUGCCUCUAAUCAUUGGCUUUACCUGAUAGAACUCGUAAUGGGCUCCAGCUAUCCCGAGGGAAACUUCAGAGGGAACCAGCUACUAGAUGGUUCGAUUAGUCUUUUGCCCCUAUACCCAAGUCAGAUGAACGAUUGGCACGUUAGUAUUGCUACGAGCCUCCACCAGAGUUUCCUCUGGCUUCGCCCCGCUCAGGCAUAGUUCACCAUCUUUCGGGUCCCAACAGGCGUGCUCCAACUCGAACCCUUCACAGAAGAUCAGGGUCGGCCGACGGUGCGACCCGUGUGGGCCUCCCACUCGUCAGCUUCCUUGCGCAUCGCAGGUUUCAGAACCCCCGGUGAACAGGCUGUACGAGGACACGGGAAAAAAAGCGGCCGACGCCCGUCGUGGACGGAACGGGACGCGCACCAUGGAAAACAGGGCAAAACCAUGUACGAGGUACACACACGUACACGAACCGUUACACGGACCCGUGAACGGGCGGUACGUGGACACGGGAAAAAAGUGGCCGACGCCCGUCGUGGACGGAACCAGACGCGCGCCAUGGAAAGCUAGGCAAAACCACGUACGAGGCACACACACGUGCACGGACCCUUACACGGACCCGUGAACGGGCUGUACGUGGACNNNNNNNNNNNNNNNNNNNNNNNNNNNNNNNNNNNNNNNNNNNNNNNNNNNNNNNNNNNNNNNNNNNNNNNNNNNNNNNNNNNNNNNNNNNNNNNNNNNNNNNNNNNNNNNNNNNNNNNNNNNNNNNNNNNNNNNNNNNNNNNNNNNNNNNNNNNNNNNNNNNNNNNNNNNNNNNNNNNNNNNNNNNNNNNNNNNNNNNNNNNNNNNNNNNNNNNNNNNNNNNNNNNNNNNNNNNNNNNNNNNNNNNNNNNNNNNNNNNNNNNNNNNNNNNNNNNNNNNNNNNNNNNNNNNNNNNNNNNNNNNNNNNNNNNNNNNNNNNNNNNNNNNNNNNNNNNNNNNNNNNNNNNNNNNNNNNNNNNNNNNNNNNNNNNNNNNNNNNNNNNNNNNNNNNNNNNNNNNNNNNNNNNNNNNNNNNNNNNNNNNNNNNNNNNNNNNNNNNNNNNNNNNNNNNNNNNNNNNNNNNNNNNNNNNNNNNNNNNNNNNNNNNNNNNNNNNNNNNNNNNNNNNNNNNNNNNNNNNNNNNNNNNNNNNNNNNNNNNNNNNNNNNNNNNNNNNNNNNNNNNNNNNNNNNNNNNNNNNNNNNNNNNNNNNNNNNNNNNNNNNNNNNNNNNNNNNNNNNNNNNNNNNNNNNNNNNNNNNNNNNNNNNNNNNNNNNNNNNNNNNNNNNNNNNNNNNNNNNNNNNNNNNNNNNNNNNNNNNNNNNNNNNNNNNNNNNNNNNNNNNNNNNNNNNNNNNNNNNNNNNNNNNNNNNNNNNNNNNNNNNNNNNNNNNNNNNNNNNNNNNNNNNNNNNNNNNNNNNNNNNNNNNNNNNNNNNNNNNNNNNNNNNNNNNNNNNNNNNNNNNNNNNNNNNNNNNNNNNNNNNNNNNNNNNNNNNNNNNNNNNNNNNNNNNNNNNNNNNNNNNNNNNNNNNNNNNNNNNNNNNNNNNNNNNNNNNNNNNNNNNNNNNNNNNNNNNNNNNNNNNNNNNNNNNNNNNNNNNNNNNNNNNNNNNNNNNNNNNNNNNNNNNNNNNNNNNNNNNNNNNNNNNNNNNNNNNNNNACGCGCCAUGGAAAAUAGGGCAAAACCACAUAUGAGGCACACACACGUACACGGACCCGUGAACGGGCGGUAUGUGGACACGGGAAAAAAGUGGCCGACGCCCGUCGUGGACGGAACUGGACGCGUGCCAUGGAAAACUGGGCAAAACCAUGUACGAGGCACACACACGUACACGGACCCUUACACGGAUCCGUGAACGGGCUGUAUGUGGACACGGGGAAAAAGGGGCCGACACCCGUCGUGGACGGAACGGGACGUGCGCCAUGGAAAACUGGGCAAAACCACGUACGAGGCAAACUGUAACACCCCGGAUGUAACUUUCCAUAUUUGUAACUCCAACUCUUGCCAUUUUCGGCUUUAAGUUAUGAGAUUCCCUUCGUGGUUGGGUUUUGUCUUCGUUUUGCAUUUCGUUCGUGUCAUGCAUUUCAUUCCAUGUCAUCAUGUGCAUCGCAUUUGCAUUCAUGUUCGUCUCGUGCAUCCGAGCAAUUUCCCCAUUGUCCGUUUUGCAAUCCGACACUCCCAUAUGCACCGGCGCACCCCUCUUGUCUCUUUUCGUGAGCGGGUGUUAAACGUUCUCGGAAUGGACCGAGAUUUGCCAACUGGCCUUUAUACACCACCGAUAGACCACCUAUCAAGUUUCGAUCCAUUUGGAGGCCGUUUGAUGCUCCAACGGCUAACCGGGUAACUGCAAAAGCCUCUUGUGUGUUGCAGCCCAACACCCCUCCAAAACAGCCCAAUAACCCAUCUAAACCCCCUCCAUGCUCUCUACCAUUGGAUUACGAUCGUGUGGGCGAAAACUGCACCACAUUUGGACUCUCCUACCUCCACCUACCUAUAUAGGUGUCUCCACCGAAUUUUUCGCAGUCCAAACCCUAGCAAUCUUCCCUCUCCGCCACCGGACUCUUCUUGUCCACCGACGGACAUGUCCGCCCGCCGCCCCGAGACAACCACGCGUUGACACGUGUCCCCACGCCCACAUCCCCGCCGGGGCCGCCCGAGGCCCAUCGUCGGCCCGCCGUCGGGCCACGCCGGCGCCCGAGCUCUGCGCCGCUUCCUCCGCCGCCCGGGAGCUCGCCGGAGCACCUCGGCCCCGCCGUUCGCCCGCCGACGACUCCUCCGCCCGAAGCCGCCACCUCCGCGGAGCUCCCGCAACACCGCCGCCCGCACCCCCGCGCUACUCCGCCACCACCUCACUCUAGCGCCGCUUCGCCGACAAGCCUCGACGCCGCCCCUGCAAUGCGCCGCCCUGCAACGCCGGCCCCUCCCUCGUUGCCGGCGAGUAACGCCAUCGCCAACACCACCUCCGGCCGCCGCCUCGUCAUCAACUCCAGCCGGCAUCCUCCUCAUCUCCGGCGAGGAACCCUGGCGAUCCUCGAGAGACGCACCCGGAAACCUAGAUCUGGAUUCCGAGAGGGUAUAUUUCGCCCAAGUCCCAAAACCCCCUUAUGAUUUAUGCCCAUGUUCAUUGCAUCACAUCUCGGUGACCGUAGCUCUAAAUCUGGCAUAUGAUAUAUCGAAUUGUUCGUCUCGUCGAGAUCUUCACAUUAGGAGCAUUUCCAUGCCUGUUACUGUCUGUUUUGAUGCCAUUUUCAUUGAUGCAAGAGUGCUAUAAAAUGUUUACUGCUGUUACUUAUCAGAUUAUGAUGUUUUGUCAUUUUUGUUGCAUUUGAUGUGUGCAUCCUAUAAGCAUGAGCUAUACAUGUGUUUUGGACUAUGUCAUGCCAUCUUUACGGAGGUGCUUACUAUGUAUUUUUUGAUCUAUGUGGUGACUAGCACAAGCAUGCAUAGUAGCCUCCAUAAUGUUGCUGUUUUCAGGGACUUAGGAUUUUGCUGAGCCCUUUUCCUGCUGUUAUUUUGAUGCCAUGUCAACUUGAUGCUACAGUGAGAUCCAUGCUUAUUUUGUUAUACUUCAGUAAGGAUGUUUUUAACAUGUGGUUAUGCUCUAUCCAUCCAUGCCCCUGCUUGCAAUUAUGGAGUGCACUAGCAUGUAUUGUUCUUGCUCUACAUUUGCUAUAAAAUAUUCCUGGCCGAAUGUUAACAUGUUAAUCCAUAUUGCCAUUGUUGUUUCUAUGAAGUUGCUCUUGCCAUGAUUAGCUUCAUGAACAUGUCAUCUUGAUAUUGGUAUGCUUAAAUUGUCAUGCAAUGCUUUGUGGUGAGUGGCAUAAGCUCGCAAAGUUGCCUUCAUAAUUCCGUUUAUGCCAUGCUCUGCUUGCUGCUAAGUCCGAAACUGUUAAUAAAACUUUCUAUGUUUACAUGAGUGCCAUCAUAUCUUCUGUGCCUUUUUGGCUCAUGUUCAAUAAGGGACUUUUGUCAUGCCUUGUUUUGCUAUGUUAUGUUCAUGUAGCAUGCUGGUUGCUUGCUCUAAACAUUGCUGCCUGAUGCUGUUUAUGCCAUGUUCAGUAUUUUCACCAAGUCUGUGAAGCUGAUAUCUUUUGCACUUUUGCCAUGCUUGUUUGAACCUGUUAUUGUGUGAUCUAGCUGUAGCUCAGUGUUCAUACUUUGUCAAGAAUCUCUUGUAAAUCACUGUCAUAUGCUUUGUUGCUAUGUUGGAGUGCAGUAGCUCAGUUUCUUGUCGCAUUCUAGAUGGAAUCAUGUUGUUAAUCGCAGAAUUGUGUCAUUCUUGUUUUGCCUGCCAUUUGCAAACCGUGCAUACGUUUCCGGUGAUCUUUAUAUCGAUUUCGACCAAAAUCAUCUCAUCUUUCCAGUGGCAUACUUGGUUUGCCAAGUUGAUGCCUUGUUCAUCCUUUUCCUUCCGGAGCAUGCAUAUGCAUUGCAUAUCACAUCUCGCAUAUCGUGGCAUGUAUUGCAUCAUGUUGCUUGUGCAUUGCACUGUGAUUGAUUGUAGUUCCAUUGCUUGUGUUCUUGCUUUGGGUAGAGCCGGGAGACCAGUACGUGAAUGAGGAACCUGUUGAGUACUGUUGAGGAUAUAGACCUUAGAGUCACCCGCCAGGAGGGGCCGGGUUACUCUAAUGGUCAUUGCCAGAAGCCCGACACCAAGCUUAAAGACGGUGGGCCGAAGAUGGGCUUAAGACCCGGAUAUGGUUUAAGGCCCGUAGUUACAAUCAUUAUUAUGGUAGAACUUGUAGUGUAAGGCAAGAAUAGUUAAGAGUCCGAGCCGGACACUCUUAUGAGCCGGCCGGCAUUCUGAGAGCUGCAGGGCGUCAGCCUCCCUAUAUAAAGGGACGACCCGGCAGCGGCCUAGGGACAAGAACAAUCUCGUCGAGAGCCAGGCAUAGCAGUUAAGCUCCCUGCUCAUCGAAACCCUAAUCAAUACCACCGCAAACUGGACGUAGGCUUUUACCUUCACCGUAAGGGGCCGAACCAGUAUAAACCCUCGUGUUCCUUGUCCCGCUUAACCCCUUCAAACUUCCUAGUAGCGAUGGCUCCACGACUAAGUCCUAGCUCGAGGACAUCUGCCGUGACAAUUCCACGACAGAUGGCGCCCACCGUGGGGCCAGCGCACGGUGGAUUUGAGUUCUUGAAGGGCAGCUUCGAAGGGCUCAAGGGAUAUGCUGUGGGCCGGAUGACCAAGAGUCGUCGCGGCAAGCUCUACAUCGACGAUGCAAACUGGGGCCCCGACACCGGCUCAAUUGAGUACGGGUACCGGUCCCCUUCGGCGGAAUUCAUGUUUUCAUUGGCAAGAUUGGUGAGCCGGGCCCUGAGCCGGAUCUCUGCGCCGAUCUCAUCGAGGUGGGUCAGCGCGCACGACCCGCCCGGGCCCGGCCUGCCUUAAGGCAUGCUUUUGUGGGGUGUAUCCACGGGGGACUCUCUGAUCGAUCUGGAUCUGGUGAUGAGACGGCCGGCGGCUCUGACGGCGAGUCGGCCACCGAUGAGUCAAACUCGUUGUAUCAACUUCAGGUGACAGACCCGUGGCUUGGCCCGGCCAGAAGUGUGGUGUGACUACUUUUUGCCUCGGCAGACUUAUUUAGAACAGUUCUGCAUUGUCGGCGCCUCGGCAAACCCGAUCGAUCAGCUAAGCAAGCAACAGCUGAUCCGUGAUUGCUUCCUAGGCCCAAUAAGUCCCAAGUGUUUUCCAAGCAAAGACACUUGGCACUUGGGGGCUAAUGUGUAUCGAAUAUUCUUAUCUACAAAUUACCGGUUCAAUUGGCUAAGCCGGAAGGUGGCCUUGGAAUGUGAGGAAGGCGAUGCAACUUAUGCAGAAUCUGUUUGUGCAACAGAGGAGUUGAAGUUUUACAAAGAUAAUGUUGACCCAACAGAUAUGACUUCUCUGAAAAAGCCGACUACGGAAAAUGAGCCGGCGAUGAAAUUUAAGUCGGCUGAUGACACUAAACUCGUUGAUUUUGUCCCAGGAGAUUCAUCUCAGCAGUUUAGCAUCAGUGCAAAUUUGGAUCCGAAAUAGGAAGGCGCGCUCAUCGAGUUCAUCCGUGAGAAUAGGGACAUCUUCGCAUGGAAACCUUCUGACAUGCCAGGUGUACCUAGGGAACUCGCUGAGCACACUCUCAAUGUUGAUCCGAAAUUUAAGCCGGUCAGACAGUUCCUUCGGCGGUUUAAUGAAGAGAAGCGGAAAGCUAUUGGUGAAGAGGUGGCCCGGCUCUUGGCGGCCGGGUUUAUUACGUCAGCGAAGUGCUCAUUGAGUCCAAGCAGCGGUAUCCACAUUGGCAGAAGCUUGUGUAUGGUGUGUUCAUGGCGAGCCGGAAACUUAAGCAUUAUUUUCAGGGUCAUCCCAUCACCGUAGUCAGUUCUGCCCCUAUUGGUGAUAUCAUUCAAAACAGAGAGGCCACAGGGAGAGUAGCUAAGUGGGCUAUAGAGCUUGGAUCUCAUGGUCUCAAAUACGUGCCACGCACUGCUGUUAAAUCUCAGGCCUUGGUGGAUUUCAUCAAUGACUGGACAGAGUCACAGGUGCCCGAGCAGAAACCGGAUAACACAUAUUGGACUAUUCACUUUGAUGGGUCCAAGCAGUUGGAGGGCUCGGGGGCCGGAGUCAUGUUGGCUUCCCCUAAAGGUGACAAGUUCCAUUAUGUGCUACAGUUGCUGUUUCCUUGCACUAACAACGCGGCUGAGUACGAGGCCUUGGUCCAUGGUCUUCGGAUGGCUAAAGAGAUGAGCUUAAGCCGGGUAAGGUGCUUCGGUGACUCAGACUUGGUGGCUCAACAAGUAUCAGGAAAGUGGGAUUCCAAGGACCCUCUCAUGGCGGCUUAUCGCCGCGAGGUUGAUGCCAUUGCUGGGCAUUUUCAGGGUUACCAAGUGGAACACAUCGAUCGCAGGAAGAACGAGGCGGCGGAUGCUUUAAGUCGGCUGGGCUCUCAGCGAAAACCGGUGCCGCCUAACACUUUCCUGGACGUCCUGUAUAGCCCUUCUGUUAAGUUGCCUAUAGAGGAAGACUUGGCUGUCCCUGACCCGGAGGCACGACUGGUGGUGGCUCUCCAUAUCAUACCAGACUGGACAAUGCCAUAUCUGGCUUACAUGACUCGGGGCGAGUUGCCUGAGGACGAAACUUUGGCCAAGCAAAUAACCCGGCGGGCUAAGUCAAUGAUUCUUAUCAAUGGGGAAUUGCAUCACCGCAGUGUUAUGGGAGCGUUUCAGCGUUGUGUUUCCCCUGAGGAAGGUCAAGAAAUCUUGCGUGAGAUCCAUGAAGGGGAUUGUGGCCAUCACGCCGGCUAAAAGUAUCUUGUGGCCAAGGCUUUUCGUCAUGGUUUUUAUUGGUUGACGGCUCAUGCUGAUGCAGAGGACUUGGUCAGUAAGUGUGAUGGUUGCCAAAGGUUCUCGCGACGGGCUCAUGUACCGGCUCAAGAGCUGAGGAUGAUCCCAAUUACUUGGCCCUUUGCGGUCUGGGGGCUUGAUAUGGUUGGGCCUUUCAAAAGGUCCAAGGAUAAGAAGACCCACCUUUUGGUGGCAGUUGACAACUUUACCAAGUGGGUUAAAGAGGAGCCCGUUAGCAAGUGUGAUGCAGCCACGGCGGUUCAGUUUAUGAAAAAUGUGAUCUUUCGCUUUGGCUUUCCGCACAACAUUAUCACUGACAAUGGCACCAAUCUCUCCAAAGGCGCCAUGGAAGAGUUUUGUCAACGAGAGCAUAUCCGACUUGAUGUUUCCUCAGUAGCUCAUCCUCAAUCCAAUGGUCAAGCUGAAAGAGCUAAUCAGGAGAUUCUGAAGGGCAUCAAACCCCGGCUUUUGGUCCCUUUGCAACGGACGCCGGGUUGUUGGGUGGAGGAGUUGCCCUCCGUGUUAUGGAGCAUCAACACUACUCCUAACAGGUCUACAGGUUUUACACCUUUCUUCAUGGUUUAUGGGGCAAAAGCAGUCCUCCCCAGUGACAUCCGUCAUGACUCACCUCGAGUGGCGGCUUACGUUGAGGCGGAUAAUGAGCAGGCGCGCCAAGAUGCUCUUGACUUGCUGGACGAACAGCGUGAGGUGGCAGCAGCCCGUUCAGCGAUUUAGCAACAAGACCUGCGCCGUUAUCAUAACCGCCGGGUUAAAUCCCGGGUCUUCCAGGAAGGGGAUCUCGUGCUCCGGCUUAUCCAAGAUCAAACUGAUGCGCACAAGCUAUCCCCGCCUUGGGAAGGGCCCUUUGUGGUCAGCAAGAACUUGCAUAACUGGUCCUAUUACCUCAUUGACGUUCGGGAGUACAAAGAUUCACGUAAGUCGGAGGAAGAGACCCGUCGGCCGUGGAACAUAGCUCAGCUUCGGCCUUACUACACUUGAGCCACCGGCUCUCAUAAUGUACAUAUUUCUCUCAGCCAUGUAUAUAUUAUGAUAAAGCAGGACCUCUAUCCUUUUUCUCCUCCAAAUGUGCACGUGCUUUCUUUGCAAGAUUAACAUGGUAACUUGAAGGAGGAUCCGGCUUAUGAUCGUAUUCGAAUCUAGCCGCAUGUAAUAAGGUCACUUGGGGGCUUCCUGUUCAAACAUGGGUCGUAUUCGAACCAAAGAGAACAUAGCUGUCGAUACCCAUUUGAUUGGCAAAGUGCCGAGCUCAUUGGGAGGUUUUCUCUGAUCAUAUUUGAAUCAUAGUUUAACCCCUUUGAGAACCGACGUGGAUCGUAUUCGAAUCAGCGUCGUUAAACAAUUAUUAAAAUCACUUGGGGGCUUCCUGUUCAAACAUGGGUCGUAUUCGAACCAAAGAGAACAUAGCUGUCGGUACCCUCUUGAUUGGCAUCGCCACACCCACUCGGGGCUAUAUGAUCGUAUCCGAAUCUUAGCUUAACCCCUUUGCGCCGGGUCUCUGGUCGAAUUCGAACCGGAAGCCCCCAAGUUCUUCUGCUUUAUCACAAGUUUUCUCUGAUUAUGUCAAAGGGUGUACAGCCGGGUCUCGCUUGGCCGGUUUAAAUUUUGAUUUCCAGUGUUGGUUGAACACAAUAGGUGUCAUUAAGACAGAUACACCGGAAUUAAGGUACCAACCUUAUUACCCGGGUUAUCUAAACCGGAAAUACGCUUGCAGGCUGCUAAGUGUGUUAUCACGGCUAUAUUAAGGGCAUAAUUAAGGGUCAAUCUUUUUUGAUUCAUAUCCGGGUUAUAUAUAUCUAAAACCGAUGAUUCUCAGCGCGGUAAGCCGCCUAGAGACUUGCGAUUUGUCCUUUUAUGCAGGAUAGUUCAAGGCAAUUAUUUGAGACUAAGGAGAAUGAAUGACCCGGAGAAAUAUCAAGAGACAACUUCAAUAGACUUCAGCAUUCAAUAUGUGCACGAUGGCACGGCAAAGAUAAAGUGUUGCACCUACUCUAUUACAAGACUCAUCGAGUCCAAAAGGGUGGAGCAUUGUUUGGUAAGCCGGCUGCAGAAGUUAAGACGCUUGCUGGGUGGAAGUCUCCGGCUCAUCUCUUUCUUCUCCUCCGGCUGUUCCCAAGGUCUGGAAAGUCGACGACUUCCAGUCGAUGCCGCUCAGCGCUUCGAAUUGGGCUUCCUCGUCAAUUAACCCGUCCGGGUCAAUCUCCGGGGCGAAGGUGUGCUGACGAGCCGGCGGAAUUAAACUCAGAGCUUCAUAGCGAGGGGUUGGAAUCCUCUGAUUUUCCGCAUUAUAACCCGGCUGGUACUUGGUCAGAUCCGUGUCGUUUCCAAUAAGAGUUGCCACCGGGCGCACGAUCUUCACGCAGGCGGCGAAGUCUUUUUGGUCGAAAGUCGUGCCCUCUUCCUUCAGACUUGGAUAGCCGAGGGCGAUGUCUGCCGGGUCUAGCUCCGGCAGGAAAGCCUUGGCCCGGCUCAGCACGGCGAUCGCACCGGAUCUCGCAGAGGCCCGUCGCAGCUCUUGGAUACGUUGCGGCAGAAGAGCGAGCCGACGAAGAACCUCCGCCAAGUGAGUCGGCACAACGUUGGAUAAGGCCACCACAGCUAAGGCACGUUAUGACCCGGUGUAGAGUUGCUCCACCAGGGUGUACACGGCCUUUAGCUUGGCUACCACACUCUGGUUGAGGUUGGCACUUCUGGAACCUGUUUCAUAGAACAGGACAAGCCGCCGACCAGGGUGAGUUAUGAGGCAUUAAAAUUUUAAACUGAAUGAAAGCCCGCGGAUGACUUACCCAAGAUUGCAGCAACCAUUUGAGACACUUGGCGCUUUAAGCCGGAGAGUUCGGCCAUCUUCUCUGACAGGGCCCUCUCCGCCUGAUCAGCCCGGUUCACCAAUGCGGCCUUUUCUUCGGCCCACGCCUUUCGUUCAACGUCAAACUCUGUCUUCAGCUUCUCUUGUGAGGCGAUGCUGGACACGGACUUGGCAUUUGCCUUUCGGGUCUCCAUCUCUUGCAUCUUUAGCCGGUUCUUAAGAUCAGCAAGGUCAGCCUGAAGCUUCUUGCCAACAGCCUGUAUAAAUGUCCGGGUUAUGGCAUGAACAGUUACUAUGCAAAUUUAAAGUCCCAAGCGUUUUCCAAGCAAAGACACUUGGCACUUGGGGGCUAAUGCAUGUUCAACGUUCCUAUUUACAACUUUCCGGUUCAUGCGAGUAAGCCGGAUGAUAAGUCCCAAGUCUUUUCCAAGCAAAGACACUUGGCACUUGGGGGCUAAUGUGUAUCGAAUAUUCUUAUCUACAAAUUACCGGUUGAAUUGGCUAAGCCGGAACUUAAGUCUACAACAUAUUCAAUCAUAAGUCGUCGACUUGGGGGCUAGCAUGGUAAAGGCAACUAGGCAGUAAGUAAGAGGACAGAAGGAUAAUACCUCAGAUUUCUGCUGGAUCUGGGUCACCAUGGCAACCUCUGCGUCCCGGCUCUUGUGCACUUGGCUGACGUAGCCGGAGACGAGCUCUCCGAUGCUCAGGUUGGCAUAGUCAGUUAGAUCCAGACUGACCCGGCGGGGCUGCAGUAAUUCCCCCUUGGCAGAGCACUUGGCCAGUGCCGUAGGCCUCCCCGGCUCAACAAAUUCCGUCCGGGUGAUUUCCACGUCCGGGUCAUUUGUUGGCUGAGCCGAGCCGGAGGCCUCCGGGUCAGCAGAAGCUUCUACAGGUGCCUUGUCGAUUGGAGCAGUGGCUUCGGGGGUGGAGGCAGCUGGCGGUUCUUGAACCGUCACCUCCGGUUCAGGCAAAUCCGGCUCUCCGGCCGACUUGGUUUUCUUCGCCCUCUUGGUGAGCUUUGCCUGGGCACUGAAAGAACAACAAAGGUUAGUACAAAAAGUAUGAGUAAAGAUCAGAACAACAUGAGAUGGUUAUCAUUACCCGGGCACGGUCUUGAAAGCCGGCAGAUUCGACUGCAUAGAAUCGCCGGAAGAAGGGGAAGUCUCCUGAUAAUUUGAGUCAGAAGAAUUAAGCGGUUGGCGUAUAACACCCGCAAAAGGAUGAAAAGGGUACAAUUUUGUGAUCACCUCGGUCCGGCGUUUCCUUGAUGCAUCAGGUAACCCGGAGGAGAGGUCAGUGUCCUUGUUGGUCCGGGUAUGCCGCCGGCUCUCAUGAACCUGUCGCUUCAAAAUAAAUUCAGGAUCUUGGUAAGCUAAAGGAUGGGAAAAGCUUACUUUCCGGGUUACUCUUCGGGUUUUCAGCCGUGGCAAGGGCUCCGAGUCGGAAGAAAGUAUUGUUACCUCUUCAACCACCGGGUUACUGGCUCCGGUGUCCUCCUGUUGAUAAACAACAUUGAUAAGGAGGACAGAACUAAAACAACAAGUAUAACAAGAGCUUACAGGUUUAGGAAUUACCUCAGACUCGGAGCUGUCACUUAGCUGCAACAGCUCCGAAGCAGUGGGCCUACUUCCCUUCUUACGGGGAGCGGCUUUCUUGGCGGCUUUCUUUGCCUUUCUGGCCUUCUUGGCCGCGUCAUGGUCAUACUUGACCCGCCAGAACUUGUCGUCAGCCUGAAAAAUACAAUGAUGAUUUCUUAAAGAUCCAGAUGAAGGUUCUCUGUGGACAAAGAUAAAAUGUUUAAAGCAUUGGCUUACCGCUGCAGCUGGGUUGGUCGUGCAGAAGGGAGCUAACCCGGUCCUCCCGCAGUCUGCCAGGCUCUCGUUCAAGAGAGCCUUAGUCAUCUCCUCUGCAACAUCUUCUGGAAGAUCAUUGCGUCUGUGUCUCUGGGGGUCAUCCUUUCGUCCUGUGUACUCGCACAUUAAGCCGGGGCGGCGGCUUAAUGGGAUCACCCGCCAGGAGAUCCAGACCCGGACCAGAUCGAUUCCGUUGAGACCAUUGCCCAAAAGAGCCUUGAUCUUGUUUAUGGUGGGGAGUAGAGGCUGGCGCUCCGCUUGCGUCAGCUUGUCAGACAGUGGAUGUGUUGACUCCAUACGAGAGGGGCGAAAGCCGGGCAACGGACUUUCAUCAGCCGGCAACGUGUCUUGGCAGUAGAACCACGUCAGAUUCCAAUCUUUGGGGUGGCUUGGCGGCUCUGCGUAUGGGAAAAGGCAGUCCCUUCGCCGCUGGAUGGAGAUGCCAGCUAACUCCAGACUUGGCCCAUUAGCGCACUCAUUCUGACGGUUCAAGUAAAAAAGCUCUCUGAAGAGCAGCAGACUAGGUUCUUCUCCAAGGUAAACCUCGCAGAAUACUUGGAAGUUGCAGAUGUUGGACACUGAGUUGGGUCCUAUGUCCUGAGGCCGCAGGUCGAAGAAGUUUAGAACGUCUCUAAAAAACUUUGAGUCGGGCGGUGCGAAACCCCGGCUCAUAUGCUCCGCAAAAAUCACUACCUCCCCGUCCUUUGGCUGUGGUCUCUCUUCUGGCGGGUCAGGGGCACGGUAGGACAUGAUGUCCUUCUUGGGCAGAUAUCCAGACUUGACAAAAUCUGCUAGGGUCUCACUGGUGACAUUGGACCUCAUCCAGUUGCAAGUGAUGGAGGCUUUGGGAGCUUUGGGAGGCAUGGUGAAAGUUGGCAGCCUAUGACAAAAGGAAAACGUCCGGAUUAAUUAUAAGCCGGAGGAAAUCUACAGUUCAAAGUCAAGGUGGCGGCUUGUGAAGGGGACUAAUGGUAUAUACCUAAGUACAGCGGGUUAUUUAAGCCGCAGAGGUAUUAAAGAGUAAUUUGAUUGUCUACGGCCUUAUCACAGUUGAGCCGGACAAUUUUAUGGCGCAUAAUUUUCUUUAAGCCGGAAGGUUCUACGGAGCAUGGUUUUCUUUAAGCCGGAAGGUUCUACGGCGAGUGGUUUCUUUAAACCGGAAAUGUAAACCGCCGUGAUUCAAUGAUUGCAGUUUUUUUACUAAGUGUGGUAAAACAGGUUUCACACAUUGCAGUAACUAUUUUGGAUCAAAAUGGUCGGGCAAAAGAAAAGUUUCUAGACCUAGAAACAGACGCGAGGAAGUUCUUAAGCUCGAACAAGGCUCUUAUGCAGUAAAAUGAGGCUUACUUGGAUUUGAGAUGAAUGCUAAAUAGCCGCCACGCUAGUUCUACCCUAUACUAAGAUCGAAAAGAGGCAGUAAAAUUCAAAUCUACUGCGGGCCGCGAGGAACUACGAAGAACAGAGGAAGAACUAUGAAGCCCUAGUGCGGAUCUGCCCUAUGGUGUAGCGAGGACUCACCGAUGCUGAAGAGGAGCGGAGGUUGCCGCCGUUUGUCUGGACCGAAUCAGGGUGAUGCAGCGGCCGAGGUUGACGAAGACCGGGGGCGAGGCGGCGACGGCAGAGUUCGAGCUCGAGUAGAGGAGCAGUGGCGCGAGGAGGAAGAAGGGUGGCAGAGAACCCCGUCGGGCCGGCCUAUUUAUAAGGGCGAACUCAUAAGUGGGCGCGAGAAUCAAGGAGUCCACGGCGUGGUUAUCUCCCCAUGGAACGCCUCGAUUUUCAGGAUGACAGUAAAGGUAAAGAUCCGUUGUGGAUCUGGCGGAGUAAAAAACGGGCUUAAUGGAAGAUGACGUCACGACAGAUUAUCCGGAGUCUAGAGGAUGACGUCACGCCGGGUUAUGGCCUUCACACAAUCGUAAGCCGGCGAUUUUCUGUCGAAAGGAUUGAAGAUUGACAUGAGCCGGCUCAAAUCAAUCUGGGGCCUAAUGUUGAGGAUAUAGACCUUAGAGUCACCCACCAGGAGGGGCCGGGUUACUCUAAUGGUCAUUGCCAGAAGCCCGACGCCAAGCUUAAAGACGGUGGGCCAAAGAUGGGCUUAAGACCCGGAUAUGGUUUAAGGCCCACAGUUACAAUCAUUAUUGUGGUAGAACUUGUAGUGUAAGGCAAGAAUAGUUAAGAGUCCGAGCCGGACACUCUUAUGAGCCGGCCGGGACUCUCAGAGCUGCAGGGCGUCAGCCUCCCUACAUAAAGGGACGACCCGACAGCGGCUUAGUGACAAGAACAAUCUCGUCGAGAGCCAGGCAUAGCAGUUAAGCUCCCUGCUCAUCGAAACCCUAAUCAAUACCACCGCAAACUGCACGUAGGCUUUUACCUUCACCGUAAGGGGCCGAACCAGUAUAAACCCUCGUGUUCCUUGUCCCGCUUAACCCCUUCAAGCUUCCUAGUAGCAAAGGCUCCACGACUAAGUCCUAGCUCGAGGAUAUCUGCCGAUUCCACGACAAGUACGCUAACGAGGAUCAAGCUUUCGACAACUCUGAGAACUUUGCAGGCAAGAUGACCAUACCCCCGAUAUAACUUCUAUAUUUGCUUUGCUAGUUGUUCGCUCUAUUGCUAUGCUUGCGCUGCCUACCACUUGUUUAUCAUGCCUCCCAUAUUGCCAUGUCAAGCCUCUAACCAUCCUUUCCUAGCAAACCAUUGUUUGGCUAUGUUACCGCUUUAGCUCAGCUCUUCUUAUAGCGUUGCUAGUUGCAGGUGAAGAUGAAGUUGGUCCCAUGUUGAAACAGGGAUAUCUUGGGAUAGCACAAUAUCUCUUAUUCAAUUAAUGCAUCUAUAUAAUUGGUAAAGGGUGGAAGGCUCGGCCUUAUGCCUGGUGUUUUGUUCCACUCUAGCCGCCCUAUUUUCCGUCAUACCGGUGUUAUGUUCCUUGAUUUUGCGUUGCUUAUGCGGUUGGGUGUUAUGGGAACCCCUUGACAGUUCACCUUGAAUAAAACUCCUCCAGCAAGGCCCAACCUUGGUUUUACCAUUUGCCUACCCAAGCCUUCUUCCAUAGGGUUCCGGGGACUCAAGGGUCAUCUUUAUUUUAAACCCCCGGGCCAGUGCUCCUCUGAGUGUUGGUCCAACCUAUCAGCCGCCGGUGGUCAUCAGGGGCAACUCUGGGAUGGCCUAUCAGAAGUUUGGACAAUCUGGUGUGCCCUGAGAACGAGAUAUGUGCAAGUCCUAUCGGGAUUUGUCGCCACAUUCGGGCGGCUUUGCUGGUCUUGUUUUACCAUUGUCGAAACGACUUGUAACCGGGACUUCGAGACUGAUCGGGUCUCCUGGGAGAAGGAAUAUCCUUCGUUGACCGUGAAAACUUGUGAUGGGCUAAGGUGGGACACCCCUGCAGGGUAUUAUCUUUCGAAAGCUGUGCCCGCGGUUAUGUGGCAGAUGGGAAUUUGUUAAUGUCUGGUUGUAGUGAACUUGACACUUGACCUAAUUAAAAUGCAUCAACCGCGUGUGUAGCCGUGAUGGUCUCUUUUCGACAGAGUCCGGGAAGUGAACACCGUCUGGGUUAUGUAUGAACAUAAGUAGUUUUAGGAUCACUUCUUGAUCACUUCUAGCUUAUCGACCGAUGCGUUGCUUCUCUCCUCGCUCUUAUUUGCGUAUGUUAGCCACCAUAUAUGCUUAGUGCUUGCUGCAGCUCCACCACAUUACCCCUUUCCUACCCACAAGAUUAAAUAGGCUUGAUCUCGCGGGUGUGAGAUUGCUGAGUCCUCGUGACUCACAGAUUCUACCAAAACAGUUGCAGGUGCCGAGGAUACCAGUGCAGGUGAUGCAACCGAGCUCAUGUGGGAGUUCGACGAGGACCUUGGUCGUUACUAUGUUUCGUUUCCUGAUGAUCAGUAGUGGAGCCCAGUUGGGACGAUCGGGGAUCUAGCAUUUGGGGUUAUCUUCUUUUCAUUUGGACAUGACCGUAGUCGGUCUAUGUGUGUAUUUUGAAUGAUGUGUGAAUUUAUUUAUGUAUUUUGUGAAGUGGCGAUUGUAAGCCAACUCUCUUUAUCCCAUUCUUGUUCAUUACAUGGGAUUGUGUGAAGAUGACCCUUCUUGCGACAAAACCUACAAUGCGGUUAUCCCUCUAAGUCAUGCCUCGACACGUGGGAGAUAUAGCCGCAUCGUGGGCGUUACAAGUUGGUAAUCAGAGCCAUCCCCGACUUAGGAGCCCCCUGCUUGAUCGAAUCUCUGACGUUGUUGAGUCUAGAACAAAAAAAAGUUUUGAGUCUUAGUAUUAUAUAUAUCGGAGAGUAGGAUUCUUUUUACUCCUCUGUCCCUUCGUCGCUCUGGUGAGGUCUCCUGACGUAGAAGUUUUGACUCUUCUCUCCUCAAAUUUCACGGAAUUUUUUUUAGGAUCACGCGGGUAUCUUGGAAUCGUUCCGAUGGUUUUGUGACGAGAAUAUUGUUCUUGGUGCCUCCUGACAAUUAGGGGUUGUGGCAGUGUCCCGGGGAGUUGAGCUCCGAGGUGUUGUCAUCACAAUUUUAUCGUUGUAGUUCUGGAAUACCUGAGUUUUGCCGACAUCGAAAAUGUCUUUUAUGCACUUUGUUGGUGAGAUCACCUCGAUGCCACCCAGUACUGGGGCGGGAGUUCUGGAGUAUUGCCAUAACUCGUAUAACAGAUGCUUUUCGAAGGUUGAGGUACACGAUUUCCGAAGUUUUCUUGGUUAUGUGUUGACGGAUGGAUACAGCUGGAUCUAGGGAUUGUUUGUUUGGGUGAGAUAUAUUGCGUCCCCUGUAUCCCCAACACCAGAUUGCAUAACCAGAAAGUUUCGGGAGUUUAUAGGUGGGAUUCAAGUAGCUCUUAGCAUUUCUUCCCGUAGAUAUUUGGUUUGUGAUUGGGUAAUCCUUACCACUUAUUUGAUCCAGUUGUACCUUGUUAUUUCAUUCAUCAACCCCUUAUCAAGUGGCUUCUCACCUUAAUGGACGUGUGAUGUUAGCUUUGGAAUUCAUUCGUUCAUCCUUGUUCGAAUGUUUAUUCUGAAGACUAUAUGUUGCAAUUUCUAUCCGUUGAUUCAACUUGUCUAUCUGUCUAUCAAGAUGCUAACGGAUGUCACCCUCUUCAGGAUGGCUCCGCCAUCGCGUCAGAAUCCGGAACGCAAUGAUGGGAGUCAGGCGAACCCUCCGCCACCACCUCCGCCUCCGAAGGCAUGGAAAGCUUUGAUGGCAGCCACAAACGCCAACGCUCAGAUGCUGAUUCAGCUCAUGCAAGAACGCAACCAAGGCCAAGGCAACCAAGGGAAUCAAGGUCAAGCGCAGUUCAACCAUCAGCCUCAGUUUGCUACCCUCAACCAGUACCUUGCAAAUCAGCCGAAGUCUUUCAGCUACUAUGCCGAGGCCACAGACGCCGAGGAUUUGCUCGUGGACAUCAACAAGCAUUUCGAAUGUAGCAAUGUCAGGCCUGAGGACUACGUCAAGUUCGCUUCCUUUCAACUCAAGGACCAAGCCGCUGAUUGGUAUCAACAAUACAAAGAUUCUAGAGGAGGUCGAGUGAUUACUUGGACUGACUUCUGUCGGGACUUUAAAGCUCACCACAUUCCCACAAGUGUUGUUGAGAGCAAGCGUGAGGAGUUCCGCAAUCUCAAGCAAGGCAACAUGUCCGUGUAUCAAUACAACAUCCAGUUUCAGAAACUUGCUCGCUUCGCUUGUAACGCCUCGGAUUCGAUGCGCCAGGUGUCUUCCAGCUAUUCGCCAUCUUUGCCAUGUCAUUUUCUUGCGUGUUGCAUUUUGUCAUGUCAUCAUCUGCAUUUCAUCUGCAUGCUUUUCAAAACUUGCAUCCGUUCGGGUUCCCCCGGUUCUCUCCGUUGUCCGUUCUGAGCCCUUUCACACUCGCACGCACCCGUCGCCCCUCUCAGAACUUGUUUUGUGAGCGGGAGAAAAAGUUCUCAGAAUGGGCCGAGAUUUGCCGAGUGGCCUUGGUAUAUCACCAGUAGACCGCCCGUCAAAUUUCGUUCCAUUUGGAGGUCGUUUGAUGCCCCAACGGUUAACCGCGUACCCCGAAAGCCCUUUCUCUUUGCAGCCCAACACCCCUCCAAAUCAGCCCAUGAGCCCAUCCAAACCCCUUCCAUGCUCUCGGUCGUUCGAUCACAAUCGUGUGGGCGAAAACCGCACCUCAUUUGGACUCUCCUAGCUCGCUCUACCUUUAUAUUAGCCUCCCCCUCCUCAAAUCACAGAUGAAUCCUACCCUAACCCUAGAUCCACCUACCCUCUCCGCGCCGGACACGUCUGUCGGAGCCGGACACGUCUGUCGGAGCCGGACGCGUCCAGCCACCGCCCCCAGCGAAUCAAAGAGCGCCACGUGUCCCCGCCGCCGUCCUCCACCGCGCUCAGCCGCGGGCCCGCAGGAGCCCAGAUCCGGCCCUCCCCGGCCCGGGACGCCCCCGCCGCCGCCCCGCGGGCGCCCGAGCCCCGCGCCGGCCGGACCUCGCCGCCGUGCCCUUCGCCGGACCCCGCCGCCGNNNNNNNNNNNNNNNNNNNNNNNNNNNNNNNNNNNNNNNNNNNNNNNNNNNNNNNNNNNNNNNNNNNNNNNNNNNNNNNNNNNNNNNNNNNNNNNNNNNNNNNNNNNNNNNNNNNNNNNNNNNNNNNNNNNNNNNNNNNNNNNNNNNNNNNNNNNNNNNNNNNNNNNNNNNNNNNNNNNNNNNNNNNNNNNNNNNNNNNNNNNNNNNNNNNNNNNNNNNNNNNNNNNNNNNNNNNNNNNNNNNNNNNNNNNNNNNNNNNNNNNNNNNNNNNNNNNNNNNNNNNNNNNNNNNNNNNNNNNNNNNNNNNNNNNNNNNNNNNNNNNNNNNNNNNNNNNNNNNNNNNNNNNNNNNNNNNNNNNNNNNNNNNNNNNNNNNNNNNNNNNNNNNNNNNNNNNNNNNNNNNNNNNNNNNNNNNNNNNNNNNNNNNNNNNNNNNNNNNNNNNNNNNNNNNNNNNNNCGCCGCGCCUCCGUUCCCGCCGCCGGACGCACUCGCGCCCCCCCCCGAAGGCCGCGGCAGCCCCGCCUCCAAGUCGUCGCCUCGCCGCCGCUCCCGCAGAGCUCGCCGGAGCGCGACCGCCUCGCGCCGUCACCUCCCGUGGCUCGCCUCCGACCUCGCCAAGCCUCGGGUCCGGCCGCCCCGGCCUCCUCCACGCCGGGACCGGAGUUUCCCCACCCGGAUCUGCCCGUCACCGGUGACCCGGCGCCUCGCCGGACUUCCACGACCUCGCCGGGUGCUGCUCAGCUGCCUCGUCACCGGAUCCAGCCGGGGUGGACCAGAUCCACCCAUCCGCCGAACCAAACGGCCCCUCCGUCACGGAUCCCUCCAUCCCGCAUGGCUCCGUCCCGUUUCUGCAAGGUGAAUUUUGGCCAAGUCCCGAGAAAACUCAUGAUAUGUGUGCAUCUUUGAUUGCUUGUAACAUCUUGUGUGCUGCUCCGUUUAUGCGUGUGAUAUGUCAAAAUGUUCAUCGCGAGAUGCUCUUCAUUUUGUUCCAUUGUGCCAUGCUUGUUUGAAUCCAUCUCGAUGCCCUAAUCAUCGUUGCAAGAGUGCUAUAUGAUGUUAAUCUGCUGAAACUGUUAUAACUUGAUGAAUUGUCAUUUUUUUUGCAUUUGAUGUGUGCAUCAUAUGAGGUUGAUGUCUACACGUGUUUUGAACUACAUCAUGUCAUAUUUGCAUAGGUGUUUGUCUUGCAUUUUUGUGAUAUAUGUGGUAACUAGCACAAGCAUGCAAAUUAUCCUCCAUGAUGUUGCUGACUUCUGUGACUUGGUGAUUUCUGCCAAGUCCGAGUCUAUUAUAUUUUGUUGCUAUGUUGCCAUGCUGCUACCAUGAGUUAUGUUCAUAAUCUGGAGAUAUUCACUAAGGAUGUUUUGUUAUAAAUGUUAUGCUCUAUCCAUCCAUGCCCUUGUUUGCAUUUAUAGCCUGUCGUAGCUUGCUGUAAUCUUGCUCUCAAGUUGUUAAGUAAUGUUGCUGUCAGUCUGUUAACAUGAAGUUCAGUUUUGCCAUGUGUUUUUCUAGUGAUCUAUGCACCCUCUGGCUAUGCUCUUGCCGUGCUUAGCUUGAUGUUUAUGCCAUCUUACCGUUGGUUGACUUCACAUUCCAUGAUUUGCUCUGUGGUGAGUGCUUCAAGCUCACCAACAUGCCUACUUAUCGUUGUUUCUGCCAUGUACUGUUAUUUACAGUCUGAAUCCGUCAUAUCAUUUGCCAUGUUUGCAUGGAUGCUACCAUGUUUUUUAUUGACCUUUGGAAUUAGUUCAGUAAGGAUAUUUUGUUCCCUGUCUUUAGUAUUAGCAUGCCAUGCUUAAGUUUUCCAUUAUAACUUGCCGAAAGAUGUUGUUUGAUGGCUCUAAACAUUGCAACCUGAUGUUAUUUCUGCCAUGUCCUGGAAUCAUGCUGAGUCUGUGAAACUGUUAUUAUUUGCAAUCUUGCCAUGUCCUUUUGAGCAUGUUCUAUUGAUUUCUGGAGAUAGCUCAGUGUUCAUGUUUUGUCAUGCUUUACCUGCAAAUCAUGCCCAUACCUUUUGUUCUCAUGUUGAGGUGUUGUAGCAUGCUUUCUUAGUGCUUGUUAACUGCCUAGUUGCUGUUUUGAACAGAUUGUUGUUAUAUCUUGUUUGGAGUGUAUGUGUUGCACCGUUGCUCCGUUUUGAGCAUGCUCUAUAUGAAACUUGCUUAGAAUUGCAUGUAGUUUCAUAUUAUCAUGGCGCAUCCUUGUUUUGAGGUGUUUGCUUGAUGCUUGAAUGCAUUUUGCAUCAAUGCCAUGUUUGACUUGUUUUGCUCAUAUCUUCUAGGCCGUAGCUCCGAACUAAAUGAACUUUAUAUGAAACUUGACUAGAAUUUCGUGUAGAUCUUCAUGGCGCUCUUUAACUUGCUGUUUAACAACUUCAACUUAAUGUUUGUUCAGAUCUGGACUAAUUUCGAAAUUUGCAUAUGAGGACUUACCGGAAUUGUUAUGUGUUGUUUCCGGCCUCAUUUAAACUUGUUUUGAUGUGUUGCUCUUGUAUGCAUCAUCUCUUGCCAUGAGUAGCUUCAUAUAGCCUGUCAUGCAUCAUACUUGGUUGAGCAUCAUGUCUUGUUAUGUGUUGUGUGUUUACUUUGUUGUUUGCUCAUUUCCGGCUGUGCUUUUUCUCGAUAGUUCCUGUUUCGUUGCGAUCGUGAGGAUUCGUUCAUCUACGCUUGGUUCCUCUUCGUGGCUUUAUCUUCUUCAUGGACUCGUUCUUCUUCCUAGCGGGAUUUCAGGCAAGAUGACCGUUACCCUGGAUCUCACUACUAUCAUUGCUAUGCUAGUUGCUUCAUUCUAUUGCUAUGCUGCGCUACCUAUCACUUGCUCUUCAAGCCUCCCAAGUUGCCAUAUCAGCCUCUAGCCUUUCUCAGCCUUCCUAGCAAAACGUUGUUUGGCUAUGUUACCGCUUUUGCUCAGCCCCUCUUAUAGCGUUGCUAGUUGCAGGUGAAGAUGAAGUUUACUCCACGUUGGAACAUGGUGAUUUUGGGAUAUCACAAUAUUUCUUAUAUUUAAUUAAUGCAUCUAUAUACCAGGUAAAGGGUGGAAGGCUCGGCCUUAUGCCUGGCAUUUCGUUCCACUCUUGCCGCCCUAGUUUCCGUCAUACCGGUGUAAUGUUCCUUGAUUUUGCGUUCCUUAUGCGGUUGGGUUGUUAUGGGGACCCUUUAACAGUUCACUUUGAAUAAAACUCCUCCAGCAAGGCCCAGCCUUGGUUUUACCAUUUGCCUAUCACCAAUUUUUUCCCUUGGGAGUCACGCAUCCCGAGGGUCAUCUUUAUUUUAACCCCCCCGGGCCAGUGCUUCUCUAAGUGUUUGUCCGAACCGGGCAGCCUGCGGGGCCACCUCGGGGCAACUUGAGGGCUGGUUUUACUCGUAGCUUGACCUAUCCGGUGUUGCCCUGAGAACGAGAUAUGUGCAGCUCCUAUCGGGAUUGUCGACACAUCGGGCGGCUUUGCUAGUCUUGUUUUACCAUUGUCGAAAUGUCUUGUAAACCGGGAUUCCGAGACUGAUCGGGUCUUCCCGGGAGGAGGAAUAUCCUUCGUUGACCGUGAGAGCUUAUAAUGGGCUAAGUUGGGACACCCCUGCAGUGUAUAAACUUUCGAGAGCCGUGCCCCCCGUUAUGUGGCAGAUGGGAAUUUGUUAAUGUCCGGUUGUAGAGAACUUGACACUUGACUUAAUUAAAACGCAUCAACCGCGUGUGUAGCCAUCAUGUCUCUUCUCGGCGGAGUCCGGGAAGUGAACACGGUCUUUUUGGGUUAUGUUUGACGUAAGUAGGAGUUCAGGAUCACUUCUUGAUCAUUUCUAGCUUCUCGACCGUUCCGUUUCUUCUCUUCUUGCUCUUAUUUGCGUAAGUUAGCCACCAUAUCAUGCUUAGUCACUGCUGCAACCUCACCACUUUACCCCUUCCUUACCCAUUAAGCUUUGCUAGUCUUGAUACCCAUGGUAAUGGGAUUGCUGAGUCCUCGUGGCUCACAGUUUACUAGAACACCAGUUGCAGGUACAACUAUUGCAAUGAUCAUGAGGCGAGAGCGAUGUGACUUGUUUUGGAGUUCUUCUUCUGCUUCGUCUUCGAUCAGGGGAUAGGUUCCAGGUCGGCAGCCUGGGCUAGCAGGGUGGAUGUCGUUGAGUUUAUGUUUAUGUUUCAUCCGUAGUCGGACGUUGUUCUUAUGUAUGUUGUAUUGAUGUACUCUUGCGGCAUUUGUAUGCCUCUUGUAUGUAUCCCCAUCUAUUAUGUAAUGUUGAUGUAAUGAUAUCCACCUUGCAAAAGUGUUUCAAUAUGCGGGUCUAUCCUUCGUGGGACCUACGAGUUCCUCUUGGAUAGGGUCGCAUAUUGGGCGUGACACUUCGCUAAACAAGACGUUCCUGAUGAAAAGAGCAUGAUCUAUCACUUCAGAGGUGGUCUUAGAGAGGAUCUGCAGUUAGCUCUCGUUCGUGUUGAGCCUACUCAGUUUGAUCAAUUCUAUAACAUGGCCCUCAAGCAAGAAGGUGCUCAGCUCAAGUGUGAGACUUCAAAGAAGAGAAUCAGGGGUGCAGUUCAAUCUUCUUCUUCCUCUCAAGUGGCAGCAAAGCAACAGAAGUUUUGGCUUCCUCCUCUGUUUCGUCAGCCUUACCAGCAGAAGAACAAACGUGGCCAUGGAUCUUCCCACCCACCCAACCCAGGCUAUCAGAACAAGUCUCAGCCUCAAGCUCCAAGGUCAAAUGCUCCUUAUCAUCGUCCGCUCUCAGAGGUGACUUGCAACAAGUGUCAGCAGAAAGGUCACUAUGCUAACAAGUGCUUCAACCAAAGGCGCCUUCCGCCUCCUCCUCCUGUGAGAUCUUCAAGCAAUGCAGUGGUCAAGCAUAAUUCCAAGUUUGCAAAGGUCAACAUGAUGAACGCAGCUCAGGCAGAGGACUCUUCAGAACUGAUCAUGGGUAAUCUUCCUGUUAACGACUUUCUUGCAAAAGUUCUUUUUGACACUGGUGCAUCACUUAGUUUCAUCUCAAGACCAUUUGCAUCUAAGCAUGAGUUGCCUUUCCAAGAUUUGCCUAGACCGUUAGAAGUUGUCUCUCCGGGUAAAUGCAUGAACGCAAGCUACAUGGUUCCGGUUGUUUCCAUCAAGAUGGGAAACUAUAAAUUUCUGUCUUCUCCAAUUGUUCUUGGUGACUCGGAUAUUGAUCUAAUCUCGGCAUGGACUGGCUUUCUAAGCACAAGGCUCAGCUUGAUUGUGCUGCCAGGGAAAUUCAAUUGACACGCUCUUCUGAGGAUGUGAUCAUCUAUGCCGCUCGUGAUGAAACCAUUCGUUUGUUUUGUCUCAAUGAGAAGGGAGAGCUAGACGCAAUCUCUCAGAUUCAAGUUGUUUGUGAGUACCAAGAGUUCUUUCCAGAAGAGCUUCCGGGUAUGCCUCCUCACCGGCCAGUUGAGUUCGUUAUCGAUCUUGAGCCUGGCACUGAACCCGUUUGCAAGCGUCCUUACAAGCUUGGACCCAAGGAGCUGAAAGAAUUGAAGAAACAUCUUGAUGAACAAGAGCGGCUGGGUUUGAUCAGACCGAGUUCAUCUCCAUGGGGUUGUGGAGUUCUUUUUGUCCAGAAGAAGGAUGGCACGGACCGACUGUGCGUCGAUUACCGUCCAUUGAACAAGAAGACAAUCAAGAACAAGUAUCCACUUCCCAACAUCAAUGAGCUAUUUGAGCAACUUAAGGGUGCUAAAGUAUUCUCCAAGCUUGACUUUCGUAUGUGGGUUAUCAUCAGAUUCGCAUUCGCGAACAAGAUAUUCCCAAGACAGCAUUCAGAACAAGUUUUGGUUCUUACGAAUAUACUUUCAUGUCUUUCGGCCUUGUCAAUGCUCCUCCGACGUUCUCUCGCAUGAUGAAUUUCAUCUUCAACCCCUACACCAUUGAAUUUGUCUUGGUGUAUCUCGAUGAUAUCUUGGUCUUCUCCAAGAAUAAGAAGGAUCAUGCAAAACAUUUGUGACUGGUGCUCGACAAGCUCAGAGAGUAUCAAUUCUAUGCGAAGUUUUCCAAAUGUGAGUUCUGGCUUGAUGAACUUCUUUACCUUGGUCACAUCUUCUCCGCCAAGGGCAUCGCUGUUAAUACCGAGAAGGUGUCUGCAAUUGUGAAUUGUGAACCUCCUCAGAAUGUCAAGCAGCUCCGCAGUUUCCUUGGUCUUGCAAGCUAUUGCCGAAGAUUCAUUGAGAAUUUCUCAAAGAUUGCAAAGCCUCUUUCCAACCUCCUCCAAAAGCAUGUCAAGUAUGUCUGGACGCCUGAGUGUGACGUUGCUUUCAACACCCUCAAAGAGAAGCUAGUCACAGCAACUAUCUUGAUUCCUCCUGAUGAAUCCAAGCCAUUCGAAGUUUUCUGUGAUGCCUCUUUGCAAGGUCUCGGCGCUGUGUUAAUGCAAGAGAAUAAAGUUGUGGCCUAUACCUCUCGUCAGUUGAAGCCCAACGAAAGGAACUACCCCACUCACGAUCUUGAGUUGGCGGCAGUUGUGCAUGCAUUAAUAACAUGGAGACAUCUCUUGUUGGGAAGGAAAGUGGACAUAUUCAGCGAUCACAAGAGCCUCAAGUAUAUCUUCACUCAACCCAACCUCAACCUCAGGCAAACUCGAUGGGUCAAAAUGAUUCAAGAGUCCCAUCCAAGUAUUGAAUAUACUCCAGGCAAGGCCAAUGUGAUUGCAGAUGCUUUGAGCAGGAAGGCUUAUUGCAACAGCUUAAUUCUCAAGCCAUUUCAACCGGAUCUUUGUGAAGCUUUCCGCAAACUCAAUCUCCAAGUUGUUCCUCAAGGUUUUCUUGCCAACCUUCAAGUCACUCCAACUUUGGAAGACCAAAUUCGUGAGGAACAACUCCUUGACACCAUGGUGAAGAAGGUGAAACAUGGUAUUGCCAAGGGACUCCCCAAAUACAAGUCCUUUCACAUUGAUGACAAAGAUACUCUUUUCUUCGAGGAUCGAAUUGUGGUUCCUAAAGGCGAUCUAAGGAAAGUCAUUAUGAACGAGGCACACAAUUCCCUUCUAUCCAUUCAUCCUGGAAGUACAAAGAUGUACCAUGACCUCAAGAAGUCGUAUUGGUGGACUCGAAUGAAGCGAGAAAUUGCUCAAUUCGUGAAUGAAUGUGACGUCUGCAGAAGGGUGAAAGCAGAACACCAACGACCAGCUGGUCUGCUCCAACCUCUUGCUAUUCCAGAGUGGAAGUUUGACCAUAUCGAGAUGGACUUCAUGACUUGUUUUCCUAAGUCCAAGCGUGGGAAUGAUGCUAUUUUCGUUGUCAUUGACAAGCUUACAAAAGUGGCUCAUUUUCUUCCUAUCAAAGUAUCUAUCACAGCAGCUCAGUUGGCAGAGCUAUACACCUCCAGGAUUGUCUCCUUGCAUGGUAUUCCGCAAUUGAUCUCUUCAGACCGUGGAAGCAUUUUCACCUCUAAGUUCUGGGACUCCUUCCAGAAGGCCAUGGGCACCAACACUCGCUUCAGCACAGCUUUCCAUCCUCAAACUAGUGGCCAAGUCGAGCGAGUCAGUCAAAUCCUAGAAGAUAUGCUCAGGGCUUGUGUCAUUUCCUUUGGCAUGAAGUGGAAAGAUUGUCUUCCAUAUGCCGAGUUCUCCUACAACAACAUCUUCCAAGCAAGUGCGGGCAAGGCCCCAUUCGAAAUUCUCUAUGGCAGGAGGUGCCGUACUCCUCUAAAUUGGAAAGAGACAGGUGAACUCCAACUUCUUGGCAACGACUUGAUCACAGAAGCCAAAGAAAUGUGUAAAAUCAUCCUUGAAAAUCUCAAAGCCGCGCAAUCGCGCCAGAAGAGCUAUUAUGAUGACAAGCACCGUGAUGUGGCUUUUGUAAUCGGAGACCAGGUCUACAUCGGUGUCUCUCCAAUGAAAGGCACUCGUCUCUUCGGUAUCAAAGGAAAGCUUGCCCCUAGAUACGUGGGUCCCUUCAAGAUCAUUGGCAAAAGAGGCGACCUCGCCUAUCAACUUGAGCUUCCCUCCAACUUCGCGAAUGUGCAUGAUGUGUUUCACAUGUCACAGCUUCGCAAGUUGUUGAGGAUAUAGACCUUAGAGUCACCCGCCAGGAGGGGCCGGGUUACUCAUAAUGGUCAUUGCCAGAAGCCCGGCGUCAAGAUUGAAGACGGUGGGCUAAAGAUGGGCUUAAGACCCGGAUAUGGCUUAAGGCCCGUAGUUACAAUCAUUAUUAUGGUAGAACUUGUAUUGUAAGGCAAGAAUAGUUGAGAGUCCGAGCCGGACACUCUUAUGAGCCGGCCGGGACUCUGAGAGUUGCUGGGCGUCAGCCUCCCUAUAUAGAGGGACGACCCGGCAGCGGUUUAGGGACAAGUAAGAUCUCGUCGAGAGCCAGGCAUAGAAAUUAAGCUCCCUGGUCAUCGAAACCCUAAUCAAUACCACCUGAACUGGACGUAGGCUUUUUCCUUCACUGUAAGGGGCCGAACCAGUAUAACUCUCGUGUUCCUUGUCCCGUUAACCCCUUCAAGCUUCCUAGCGGCGAUGGCUCCACGACUAAGUCCUAGCUUGAGGACAUCUGCCGUGACAAUUCCACGACAGUUGGCGCCCACCGUGGGGCCAGCGCACGGUGGAUUUGAGUUUUUGAAGGGCAACUUCGAAGGGCUCAAGGGAUACGCUGUGGGCCGGAUGACCAAGAGUCAUCACGGCAAGCUCUACAUCGACAAUGCAAGCUGGGGCCCUGACGCUGGCUCAAUUUAGUACGGGUACCGGGUCCCCUUCGGCAGAAUUCAUGUUUUCAUUGGCAAGAUUGGUGAGCCGGGCCCUGAGCCGGAUCUCUGCGCCGAUCUCAUCGAGACGGCUUAGCGUGCACGACCCGCCGGGGCCCGGCCUGCCUUAAAGCAUGCUUUUGUGUAAUGUAUCCAUGGAGGGCUCUCUGAUCGAUCUGGAUCUGGUGAUGACACCGCCGGCUCUGACGGCGAGUCGCCCACCGAUGAGUCAAACUCAUUGUAUCAACUUCAAGAUGGCAGGCUCAUGGGUUGUUCCGAUGGUGACAGCAUUCCGGACACGUUUGAGCCGCCAAGCCGGGUUGGAAUCUUCAUGGCCGGUGCGCAGCCUGUUCAGAACUCUGCUGCUGGAGCGGGAAAACCGGUGCCCUCGCCGGCUCAGGUGCUGAUGGAUCUCACGGACAAGAUGACGGCCCUGUUAACUGCCACGGUUGACCCGGCGGAUCAAGCUCAGCAUGAUGCGGAGGUGGCGCAAUUAAAGUUAGAUCUAGUGAAAGCUAAGGAGGAUCUGGCAGCGGAAGGGAUCAGGAUGGCUGCGGAGAGGGCGGCUCUCGACGCCCAAACUCAGUUGAUCCAGGCACAGUCCUUCCGGCUUACAAUGGAUCAGAACGCGUCCAAUGAGGUCAUGAGAAGGAGGCAUCAAAAGGCCCAAUCUCGGCUCCCUUCGGUUUACGAUCCACGAAACCUCUUCCACACGCCAGGUGCAGGGUCUAGUAACCCGCCAGGGGUCAUAGUGCCCGGGUCUGGGACCCCUAUUCAUCCACAAGUGAUGGGGCCUCCCCAGGUGCCCCCUGCCUCGCCUCAGUACGUGCCAAUACCACCGGGUCAUUAUGCUAACCCGCGGCAGCACGGCUGGCGGCUCUCCCAAUUGACGGCGACUCUCCGACGGCUAUUGAAACCCGACGGGUCAGGGAACUCCUUCAGACAGCACUAGCGCAGCAAGAGGCGUACUCCUACAGCCGGGACAAGAUCCAUUCGACUCCUUGUCCGGGCCGGAGCCCGAGUUACAGCAGGCACAUGGUCUCAGCGACCGGCUCAAGUAACGUCCGACGCCAUGACCCGCCCCCUGGCCAUGGCCCGGCUCAUAACGGAGCCUUUCAUGCAGCAGGCCAAGACAGAGCGCGGCAAGAGGCGGAGCAGGUGCCUCAGUUGACGGCUUACCAGACUCCCCCGGCUUAUCCGACGACUUCCGUUGACGUGGGUAUCCCUACCAGGACUGGGGGUGUCCCUUGUUUAGUGCCAGCUAUCCGCAAUGAACGUCUACCCAAGGACUUCAAAGGCCCUAGGAAGGUGCCUAAUUACACGGCUGACUUACAACCCGCAGCCUGGAUCGAGAGUUAUGAGAUGGCCAUGGAACUACUGGAGGUCAGUGAGGCGGCAAUGGCCAAGUACUUCACCAUGAUGUUAGAUGGGACUGCCCGCACUUGGUUGAAAGGGCUACCAGCGAAUUCCAUCGGGUCUUGGGCUGAGCUGAAAGCCCGGUUCAUCCAAAACUUCAAGGAUACCUGUAGGCAGUCUAUGUCAAUUGUGGAUUUGACUAACUGUAAGCAGCAGGAGGGUGAAUCCACGACGCAUUGGGUUCGCCGGGUCAAAGAGAUCAUACAUUCAUCAGAUAAGAUGGAUGCCGGAUCUGCAGUCUUAAUGUUGGAGCAGAAUUGUCGUUUCGUGCCCCUGAAGAUGAAACUCGGGCGGCUUAAGCGCGACUGCAAUGAUAUGGGUACACUGAUGGCGGCUCUUGUCAAGUACGCCGAUUCUGAUGGUACCAAGGACCCCGCUUCAGAUGAUGAAAGGACAGGGAAGGGAAAGAAGAACGACAAUGGCAAGGGUCCUCAGCAUAAACCGGGAAACCAAGGAGGAGGCAAGCGCAAGGCCGAUGGCAGCCUAGAGUUUGUAGCCAAUGCCAGCUCACAAGGUAAUAACCAGCGACGCAAGGGGAGGCCCCCUCCCCGAGCCGGCGGGUCAGGCCCGACGCUGGAGCAGCUGUUGAAUGAGCCUUGUCCAAGGCAUGGCUCUAGAGAGAAGCCAGCUACCCAUCUAUGGAAGGAUUGUGCAAUCAUGAAGGCCUUUAAGAAUUACAAUGGCCCGGGCGGCGGCUCAGGCGCCGGCGGCUUUCAUGGCCCGGGCGGCGGCUCAAAUUCUAAUCCUCAGAACGGUCAAGGGGGCUUUAAUCAGCAGUCUAGCCAGGGUCAUCAACAGCAGCAGGGGGUUAUCAGGCCAAUCCAAAGCAGCUUAGCGGUGGACAGUAUCAUGUGUUUACCACCAGUCUGUGUAAGCGAGAUCAGAAGCUUCAUAAGAGGGCUGUGAAUGAUGUUGAGCCGGCGGUUCCACGCUACUUGCGGUGGUCUGAGCAGCUAUAGUGUGGAGUAGGGAGGAUCACCCUCCCCGGGUGGAUAAUCCGGGUCACUUGGCCUUAGUGGUGGCUCCUCAGGUGGGAGGAUAUAAGUUCACUAAGGUGCUCAUCGAUGGAGGCAGCAGCAUCAACAUCCUCUAUUAUGAGACGUUCCGUCGUAUGGGGUUGAUUGAUAAGAACCUCAGCCAGUCAAACACUAUCUUCCAUGGUGUGGUACCUGGUAAGUCAUCUUAUCCAGUCGGCAAGAUCGAGUUGGAAGUGGCCUUUGGAGAUGAGCACAACUACAGGGUGGAAAAAUUGACCUUUGAGGUGGUCAAGAUAAGAAGUCCGUACCAUGCCAUAUUUGGGCGGCCGGCUUACGCCAAGUUCAUGGCACGACCAUGUUACGUGUAUUUACAGCUCAAGAUGCCGGGUCAUAAUGGGUCCAUUACGGUUCAUGGAAGCCGGAAGGUGGCCCUAGAGUGUGAGGAAGGCGAUGCAGCUUAUGCAGAAUCUGUUUGUGCAACAGAGGAGUUAAAGUUUUACAAGGACAACGUUGACCCAACAGAUAUGACCUCUCUGAAAAAGAAGACUACGGAGCGUGAGCCGGCAAAGAAAUUCAAGUCGGCUAACGAGACUAAACUUGUUGAUUUCGUCCCAGGAGAUUCAUCUCAGCAGUUUAGCAUCAAUGCCAAUCUGGAUCCAAAAUAGGAAAUCGCGCUCAUCGAGUUCAUCCGUGAGAAUAGGGACAUCUUCGCAUGGAAACCUUCUGACAUGCCAGGUGUACCUAGAGAACUCGCUGAGCACACUCUCAAUGUUGAUCCGAAAUUUAAGCCGGUCAGGCAGUUCCUUCGGCGGUUCAAUGAGGAGAGGCGGAAAGCUAUUGGUGAAGAGGUGGCCCGGCUCUUGCGGCCGGGUUUAUUGUUGAAGUCUUUCACCCAAAGUGGUUAGCUAACCCGGUCCUCGUACUCAAGAAGAACGGCACUUGGCGGAUGUGUGUGGACUACACGGACUUAAACAAGGCGUGUCCGGCUGAUCCUUUUGCCCUUCCCCGUAUUGAUCAAAUUAUUGAUGCUACGACAGGUUGUGCGCGCUUAAGUUUCUUGGAUGCUUAUUCCGGAUAUCAUCAGAUUAAAAUGGCAGUUAAGGACCAGGAGAAGACGGGAUUCAUCACUCCCUUUGGAGCCUUCUACUAUGUGUCUAUGCCCUUUGGACUCAAGUGUGCACAGGCGACUUAUCAGCGUUGUGUGCAGAACUGUCUUCAUAACCAGAUUGGGCGCAAUGUUCAUGCUUAUGUGGACGAUAUUGUGGUUAAGUCCAUAAAGGAGGAAACCCUGAUAGAUGAUUUAAGGGAAACCUUUGAUAAUCUCCGGGUUUACAAGAUGAUGCUUAACCCGGCCAAGUGUGUUUUUGGUGUUCCUGCAGGCAAACUCUUGGGUUUCUUGGUUUCUGACAAAGGCAUUGAAGCUAACCCGGAGAAGAUCAAGGCCAUCACCUCCCUGGCUAAGCCGGCGUGUAUAAAUGAUGUUCAACGAUUGGCGGGUCGCAUUGCUGCUUUAAGCCGUUUUAUAAGCCGUUUGGGUGAGAAGGCCAUGCCAUUAUAUCAGUUGAUGAAGAAAACUGAUAAAUUUGUCUGGAAUGAUGCAGCUGAUACUGCCUUUAAGGAUUUGAAGAAGCAGCUGGCAGCGCCCCCAGUCCUUGCUGCCCCGGUUGAUAAGGAGCCCUUAUUACUGUAUGUGGCGGCGAACACACGAGCUGUCAGUGUGGCUGUGGUGGUGGAGCGCAAGGAAGAGGGUAAGGAGCAUCCGGUUCAGCGGCCGAUUUAUUAUGUCAGCGAAGUGCUCAUCGAGUCCAAACAGCGGUAUCCACAUUGGCAGAAGCUUGUUUAUGGUGUGUUCAUGGCGAGCCGGAAGCUUAAGCAUUAUUUCCAGGGUCAUCCCAUCAUUGUGGUCAGUUCUGCCCCUCUUGGUGAUAUCAUUCAAAACAGAGAGGCCACAGGGAGAGUGGCUAAGUGGGCUAUAGAGCUCGGACCCCAUGGUCUGAAAUACGUGCCACGCACUGCUAUUAAAUCUCAGGCCUUGGUGGAUUUCAUCAAUGAUUGGACAGAGUCACAAGUGCCCGAGCGAAAGCCGGAUAACACAUAUUGGACUAUUCACUUUGAUGGGUCCAGGCAGUUGGAGGGCUCGGGGGCUGGAGUCGUAUUGGCUUCCCCUAAGGGGGAUAAGUUCCAUUAUGUGCUACAAUUGAUGUUUCCUUGUACCAACAAUGCAGCUGAGUACGAGGCCUUGCUCCACGGUCUUCGGAUGGCUAAGGAGAUGAGCUUGAGCCGGGUAAGGUGUUUCGGUGACUCAGACUUGGUGGCUCAACAAGUAUCAGGGAAGUGGGACUCUAAGGACCCUCUCAUGGCAGCUUAUCACCGCGAAGUUGAUGCCAUUGCUGGGCACUUUCAGGGUUACCAAGUAGAGCACAUCGAUCGCAGGAAGAAUGAGGCGGCUGAUGCUUUAAGCCGGCUAGGCUCUCAGCGAAAGCCGGUUCCGCCUAAUACUUUCCUGGACGUCCUGUAUAACCCUUCUGUUAAGUUGCCUAUAGAGGAAGACUUGGCUAUCCCUGACCUGGAGGCACAACUGGUGGCGGCUCUCCACAUCAUACCGGACUGGACAAUGCCCUAUCUGGCUUACAUGACCCGGGGAGAGUUGCCUGAGGAUGAAACUUUGGCCAGACAAAUAACCCGGCGGGCUAAGUCAAUGAUUGUUAUCAAUGGCGAGUUGCAUCACCGCAGUGUUACGGGAGCAUUCCAGCGUUGUGUCUCCCCUGAGGAAGGUCAAGAGAUCUUGCGUGAGAUUCAUGAAGGGGAUUGUGGCCAUCACGCCGGCUCAAAAUCUCUUGUGGCCAAGGCUUUUCGUCAUGGUUUUUAUUGGCUGACGGCUCAUGCUGAUGCGGAGGACUUGGUCAGUAAAUGUGAUGGUUGCCAAAGGUUCUCACGACAGGCUCAUGUGCCGGCUCAGGAGCUGAGGAUGAUCCCAAUUACUUGGCCCUUUGCGGUCUGGGGGCUUGAUAUGGUUGGGCCUUUUAAAAGGUCUAAGGAUAAGAAGACCCACCUUUUGGUGGCAGUUGACAAAUUUACCAAGUGGGUUGAAGCUGAGCCAGUUAGCAAGUGUGAUGCAGCCACGGCAGUUCAGUUUACGAAAAAGGUGAUCUUUCGCUUUGGCUUUCCACACAGCAUUAUAACUGACAAUGGUACCAAUCUAUCCAAAGGCGCCAUGGAGGAGUUUUGUCAACGGGAGCAUAUUCGACUUGAUGUUUCAUCAGUGGCUCAUCCUCAAUCCAAUGGUCAGGCUGAGAGAGCUAAUCAGGAGAUUCUGAAGGGCAUCAAACCCCGGCUUUUGGUCCCUUUGCAACGGACGCCGGGUUGUUGGGUGGAGGAGUUGCCCUCCGUGUUAUGGAGCAUCAACACUACUCCUAACAGGUCUACAGGUUUCACGCCUUUCUUCAUGGUUUACGGGGCAGAAGCAGUCCUCCCCAGUGACAUCCGUCAUGACUCGCCUCGAGUGGCGGCUUAUGUUGAGGUGGAUAAUGAACAGGCGCGCCAAGAUGCUCUUGACUUGUUGGACGAACAGCGUGAUGUGGCAGCAGCUCGUUCAGCGAUUUACCAACAGGACCUGCGCCAUUAUCAUAGUCGCCGGGUGAAAACCCGGGUCUUCUAGGAAGGCGAUCUCGUGCUCCGGCUUAUCUAGGAUCAAGCAGAUGCACACAAGCUAUCCCCGCCUUGGGAAGGGCCCUUUGUGGUCAGCAAGAAUUUGCACAAUGGGUCAUAUUACCUCAUUGACAUUCGGGAGCACAAAGAUUCACGUAAGUCGGAGGAAGAGACCCGUCGGCCGUGGAACAUAGCUCAGCUUCGGCCCUACUACACUUGAGCCACCGGCUCUCAUAAUGUACAUAUUUCUCAAAGCCAUGUAUAUAUUAUGAUAAGCAAUAAAGCAGGACCUCUGUCCUUUUUUCUCCUCCAAAUGUGCACGUGUUGUUUUCAUUGCAAGAUUACAUGAUAACUUGAAGGAGGAUCCGGCUUAUGAUCGUAUUCGAAUCUAUCCGUAGGCAAUAAGGUCACUUGGGGGCAUCCUGUUCAAACAUAGGUCGUAUUCGAACCAAAGAGAACAUAGCUGUCGAUACCCAUUUGAUUGGCAAAGUGCCGAGCUCAUUGGGGAGUUUUCUUUGAUCAUAUUUGAAUCUUAGUUUAACCCCUUUGGGAACCGACGUGGAUCGUAUUCGAAUUAGCGUCGUUAAACAAUUCUUAAAAUCACUUGGGGGCUUCCUGUUCAAACAUGGGUCAUAUUCGAACCAAAGAGAACAUAGCUGUCGGUACCCUCUUGAUUGGCAUCGCCACACCCGCUGGGGGCUAUAUGAUCGCAUUCGAAUCUUAGCAUAACCCCUUUGGGACGGGUUUCUGGUCGUAUUCGAACUGGAAGCCCCUAAAUUUUUCUGACUUGUAGCAAGUUCUUCUGAUUAUGUCAAGUAUGCACGGCCGGGUCACACUUUGCCGGUUUAACUUUGAUUUGCAGUACAAGUCGAACACAAUUGGCGUUAUUAAGACUGGUAAACCGGAAUUGAGGUACCAACCUUAUUACCCGGGUUAUUUAAACCGGAAGUAUGCUUGCAGGCCGCUAAGUGUGUUAUUACGGCUGCAUUAAGGACAUAAUUGAGGACCGGUCUUUUUGAUUCAUAUUCCGGGUUAUAUAUCUAAAACCUAUGAUUCUCAGUGCGGUAAGCUGCCUAGAGACUUGUGAUCUGUCCUUCUAUGCAGGAUAGUCGAAGGCAACUAUUUUGAGCUUAAGGAAAAUAAAUGAUUGAUUAUGACCCGGAGAAAUAUAAAGGAGACAACUUCAAUAGUUCAGCAUUCAAUGCAUGCACGAUGGCAUGGCAAAGAUAAAGUGUUCGUCCUACUCUAUUACAAGACUCAUUGAGUCCAAAAGGGUGAGGCAUUGUUUGAUAAGCCGCCAGCAGAGUUACGAUGCUUGUUGGGUUGAAGUCUCCGGCUCAUCCCUCUCUUCUCCUCCGGCUGUUCCCAAGGUCUGGAAAGUCGACGACUUCCAGUCGAUGCCGCUCAGAGCUUCGAAUUGAGCUUCCUCGUCAAUUAACCCCGUCGGGUCAAUCUCCUGGGCGAAGGAGUGCUUGCGGGUCGGCGGGAUUAAGCUGAGGGCCUCGUAGCGCGGAGUGGGGAUCCUCUGAUUCUCUGCAUCGUAACCCGGCUGAUACAUAGUCAGAUCUGUAUCAUUGCCAAUCAGAGUGGCCACCGGGCGUACGAUCUUCACGCAAGCUGCGAAGUCCUUCUGGUCGAAGGCGGUGCCGUCUUCCUUCAAACUGGGGUAGCCCAGAGCGAUGUCCGCCGGCUCUAGCUCUGGAAGGAGCGCCUUAGCCCGGCUUAGAGCCGCUAUGGCUCCGGCUCUUGCAGAGGCCCGUCGCAGCUCUUGGAUGCGUUGAGGAAGAACGGCGAGCCGGCGAAGAACCUCAGCCAGGUGAGUCAGCACCUCGUUGGAUAGGGCCACCACAGCCAGAGCACGUUGAGACCCGGUGUAGAGUUGCUCCACCAGGGUGUACACGGCCUUCAACUUGGUGACCACGCUUUGGUUGAGGUUGGCGCUUCUGGGAUCUGUGUAACAGAAUAAGGUAAGCCGCCGACAAGGAUGAGUUAUGAGAUAUAAAGAUGGUAAACUUGAUGAAAGCCGGUGAAAUGACUUACCGAAGAAUGCGGCAACCAUCUGGGACACUUGGCGUUUUAAGCCGGAGAGUUCAGCGGUCUUCUCUGAGAGAGCCUUCUCCGCCUGUUCGGCCCGGCUCACCAGAGUGGCCUUCUCUUCGGCCCAGGCUCUCCGUUCAGCGUCAAAGUCUGUCUUCAGCUUUUCUUGCGCCGCAAUGCUGGACACAAAUUUGGCGUUUGUUUUCCGGGUCUCCGUCUCUUGCGUCUUCAGACGGGUCUUGAGAUCAGCGAUGUCAGCUUCAAACUUCUUGCCAGCAGCCUGCAUAAUUUCCUGGUUAUAGCAUGAACAGUUACUAUGCAAAUUUAAAAGUCCCAAGCGUUUUCCAAGCAAAGACACUUGGCACUUGGGGGCUAAUGCGUAUCGAACGUUCCUAUCUACAAAUUUCCGGUUCAUGAAAGUAAGCCGGAACUUAAGUCUACAACAUAUUCUAUCAUAAGUCGUAGACUUGGGGGCUAGAGCUUGGUAAAAAUAACAAGAUAACUAUACACUAAGCAAGAAGAAAGAAGAGUGGUACCUCAGACUUCUGCUGAAUUUGGUUCACCAUGCUGAUCUCUGCAUCCCGGCUCUUGUGCACUUGACUGACGAAGCCGGAGACGAUCUCUCCGAUGUUCAGGUUGGUGUAGUCAGUAAGGUCCAGAUUAACCCGGCGGGGCUGUAUUAACUCCCCCUUGGCGGAGCAUUUGACCAGCGCGGUAGGUCUCCCCGGCUCAACAAAUUCCGUCCGGGUGAUUACCACGUCCGGAUCAUCUGCUGGUUGAGCAGAGCUGGAGGCCUCCAGGUUAGCAGAAGCUUCUGCAGUUGCCUUGUCGGUUGGAGCGGUGGUUUCGGGAGCGGAGGCAGCUGGCGGUUCUUGACCUGCUACCUCUGGCUCAGGCAAAUCCGGCUCUUCGACCGGCUUGGUCUUCUUCGCCCUCUUGGUGAGCUUGGCCUGGGCACUGAAAAGACAGAAAGGUUAAGCACAAAAAAUGUAAAUAAAGACAAGUACAACAUGACAUGAUCAUCAUUACCCGGGCACGGUCUUGAAAGCCGGCAGGCUUGACUGCAUAGAGUCGCCAGAAGAGGGGGACGUUUCCUGAUAAUUUGAGUCAGAAGAAUUGAGUGGUUGACGUAUAACACCUGCCAAAGGAUGAAAAGGGUACAAGUUGGAGAUAACCUCAGUUCGGUGUUUCCUCGAUGCGUCAGGUAACCCGGAGGACAGGUCAGUGUCCUUGUUGGUCCGGGUGUGACGCCGGCUCUCAUGAACCUGUCGCUUCAAAAUAAAUUGAGGAUCUUGAUAAGCUAAAGGAUGUGAAAAGCUUACUUUCCGGGUUACCCUUCGGACUUUCAGCCUUGGCAAGGGCUCCGAGUCGGAGGAAAGUGACAUUACCUCUUCAACCACCGGGUUACUUGCUCCGGUGUCAUCCUGUUGAUAAAUAGGAUUGAGAAGGCGGACAGAAAUAAAUAACAGAUAUAGCAAGAGCUUACAGGUUCAGGGAUUACCUCUGACUCGGAGCUGUCGCUUAAUUGCAUCAGCUCUGAAGUAGUAGGCCUACUUCCCUUCUUACGGGGAGCGGCUUUCUUGGCGGCUUUCUUCGCUUUCCUGGCCUUCUUGGCCGCCUCAUGGUCAUAUUUGACCUUCUAGAACUUGUCAUCAGCUUGAAAAAUACAAGGAUGAUUUCUUAAAGAUUCAGAUGACGGUUAUCUACGGAAGAAGAUAAAAUGUUCAGAUCGGCGGCUUACCGCUGGGGCUGGGUUGGUCUUGCGGAAGGGGGCUAACCCGGUCCUCCCGCAGUCUGCCAGGCUCUCGUUCAGAAGAGCCUUGGUCAUAUCCUCAGCAACAUCUUCAGGGAGAUCGUUGCGGCUGUGUCUCUGGGGAUCAUCCUUUCGGCCCGUGUACUCGCACAUUAAGUCGGGGCGGCGGCUCAAUGGGAUCACCCGCCACGAGAUCCAGACCCGGACCAGAUCGAUUCCGUUGAGACCAUUGCCCAGAAGAGCCUUGAUCUUGUUGAUGGUGGGGAGCAGAGGUUGGCGCUCCGCUUGAGUCAGCUUGUCUGACAGUGGGUGUGUUGGUUCCAGACGCGAGGGCCGAAAGCCGGGCAGCGGACUCUCAUCAGCCGGCGACGUGUCUUGGCAAUAGAACCACGUCUGGUUCCAGUCUUUGGGGUGGCAUGGCGGCUCUGCGUAAGGGAAAAGGCAGUCCCUCCGCUGCUGAAUGGAGAUGCCACCAAGCUCCAAACUUGGCCCAUUGGCGCACUCAUUCUGACGGUUCAGGUAGAAGAGCUCUCUGAAAAGCAGCAGGCUGGGCUCUUCUCCAAGAUAAACCUCGCAGAACACUUGGAAAUUGCAUAUGUUGGACACUGAGUUGGGUCCUAUAUCUUGUGGCCGCAGGUCAAAGAAGUUCAGCACGUCUCUAAAAAACUUUGAGCCAGGCGGUGCAAAGCCCCGGCUCAUGUGAUCCGCAAAAAUGACCAUCUCCCCGUCCCUUGGCUGUGGUCUCUCCUCUGAUGGGUCGGGGGCACGGUAGGACAUGACGUCCUUCUUGGGCAGGUAACCUGACUUGACAAAAUCCGCUAAAGUCUCGUUGGUGACAUUGGACCUCAUCCAAUUGCAAGUGAUGGAGGCUUUAGGAGCUUUGGGAGGCAUGGUGAAAGUCGGCAGCCUAUGAUAAAAGGAAACGUCUGGUUUAAUUAUAAGCCGGAGGAAAUUUACAGUUCAAUAAUGACAUAUAUCUAAGUGCACCGGGUUAUUUAGGCCGCCCGAAGUAUUGAGAGUAAUUCGAUUGUCUACGGCCUUAUCACAGAUGAGCCGGAAAAUUCUAUGGCGCAUGAUCUCCUUUGAGUCGGAAGGUUCUACGGCGCGUUGUUUCUUUAACCCAGAAAUGUAAACCGCCAUGGCUCAAUGAGUGCAGUUUUUACUAAGUGUGGUGAAAACAGGUUUCACACAUGGCAGUAAAUAAUUUGGAUCAAAAUGAUCGGUCAAAAGGAAAGUUUCUAGACCUAAAAACAGAUGCAGGAGAAGUUCUUGGGCUCGAACAAGGCUCUUAUGCAGUAAAAAGAGGGCUACUUGCAUGUGAAAUGGGUGCUAAACAGUUACCGCAGUGGUUCUAUACAAGGCUAAGAUCAAAAACGGGCAGUAAAAAUGGGAACUACCGGAGCUCGUGGGCGACGGCGACGAACACGGAAGAACAGCAGGAGUUGAAUGUAGAUUUGUUCUACGAGGAAGAAGGAACUUACAGAGGCAGGUGAAUAGCGAGGGUUCGCCGCGGUUCUCUGGACGGAUCAGGGUGAUGCAGCGGCCAAAGUCGACGAAGACGCGGAGCUCUGUUGCGGCGGCGGCGGCGGCGGAGCUCGAGCAGUACGGAAGCAGCGAGAGGAAGAGGACGACUGAAGGGGGAGAAUGGAAAGACCUGAGGGUCGGGCUAUUUAUAAAGGCGAGCUCAUAAGUGGGCGCGAGAAACGAGGAGACCACGGCGUGAUUAUCUGCUCAUGAAACGCCUCGAUUUUCGGGAUGGCAGUAAAGAUAAGAUCCGUUGCGGAUCUGGUGGAGUAAAAAACGGAUUUAAUGGAAGAUGAUGUCACGGCAGAUUACCCGGAGUCCAGAGGAUGACGUCACGCCGGGUUAUGGCCUUCACACAAUUAUAAGCUGGAGAUUUUUCUGUCGAAAGGAUUGAAGAUUGACAUGAGCCGGCUCAAAUCAAUCUGGGGCCUAAUGUCGAGGAUAUAGACCUUAGAGUCACCCGCCAGGAGGGGCCGGGUUACUCAUAAUGGUCAUUGCCAGAAGCCCAGCGUCAAGAUUGAAGAUGGUGGGCUAAAGAUGGGCUUAAGACCCGGAUAUGGCUUAAGGCCCGUAGUUACAAUCAUUAUUAUGGUAGAACUUGUAGUGUAAGGCAAGAAUAGUUGAGAGUCCGAGCCGGACACUCUUAUGAGCCGGCGGGACUCUGAGAGUUGCUGGGCGUCAGCCUCCCUAUAUAGAGGGACGACCCGACAGCGGUUUAUGGACAAGUAAGAUCUCGUCGAGAGCCAGGCAUAGCAAUUAAGCUCCCUGGUCAUCGAAACCCUAAUCAAUACCACCUCAACUGGACGUAGGCUUUUACCUUCACCGUAAGGGGCCGAAACAGUAUAACCCUCGUGUUCCUUGUCCCGUUAACCCCUUCAAGCUUCCUAGCAGCGAUGGCUCCAUGACUAAGUCCUAGCUUGAGGACAUCUGCCGUGACAAUUCCACGACACAAGUGCUUCAAGACGCCUGAGCGUACUAUCUACUUCGAAGAGAUUGACCUCCAAGAAGACAUGUCUUAUCAUGAGCACCCCGUUGCUAUUCUUGAGGAAACCGAGCGCAAGACUCGCAACAAGUCAAUCAAAUUCCUGAAAGUGAAGUGGUCACACCAUUCCGACCGAGAAGCCACCUGGGAGCGCAAGGAUCACCUCCGUUCCAAAUAUCCGGAGUUCUUUCAGUCCUAGAUCACAGGACGAGAUCCUCUUGUAGUGGUGGAGUGUCGUAACACCCCGAAUGUAACUUUCCAUAUUUGUAACUCCAACUCUUGCCAUUUUCGGCUUUAAGUUAUGAGAUUCCCUUCGUGGUUGGGUUUUGUCUUCGUUUUGCAUUCCGUUCAUGUUAUGAAUUUCAUUCCAUGUCAUCAUGUGCAUCGCAUUUGCAUUCAUGUUCGUCUCAUGCAUCCGAGCAUUUUCCCCGUUGUCCGUUUUGCAAUCCGACACUCCCACAUGCACCGGCGCACCCCUCUUGUCUCUUUUCGUGAGCGGGUGUUAAACGUUCUCGGAAUGGACCGAGAUUUGCCAAGUGGCCUUGGUACACCACCGGUAGACCACCUAUUAAGUUUCGUUCCAUUUGGAGGCCGUUUGAUGCUCCAACGGUUAACCGGGUAACCGUGAAAGCCUCUUGUGUGUUGCAGCCAAACACCCCUCCAAAACAGCCCAAUAACCCAUCUAAACCCCCUCCAUGCUCUCCGCCGUUGGAUCACGAUCGUGUGGGCGAAAACCGCACCGCAUUUGGACUCUCCUACCUCCACCUACCUAUAUAUAGGUGUUUCCCCCAAUUUUUCGCAGUCCAAACCCUAGCAAUCUUCCCUCUCCGCCGCCGGACUCUUCUUCUCCACCGACGGACAUGUCCGCCCGCCGCCCCGAGCCAACCACGCGCUGACAAGUGUCCCCGCGCCCACAUCCCUGUCGGGCCCACCCGAGGCCCAUCGCCGGCCAGCCGUCGGGCCACGCCCACACGCCGGUGCCCGAGCUCUGCGCCGCUUCCUCCGCCGCCCGGGAGCUCGCCGGAGACCUCGGCCCCGCCGUCCGCCCGCCGACGACUCCUCCGCCCGAAGCCGCCACCUCCGCGACGCUCCCGCCACGCUGCUGNNNNNNNNNNNNNNNNNNNNNNNNNNNNNNNNNNNNNNNNNNNNNNNNNNNNNNNNNNNNNNNNNNNNNNNNNNNNNNNNNNNNNNNNNNNNNNNNNNNNNNNNNNNNNNNNNNNNNNNNNNNNNNNNNNNNNNNNNNNNNNNNNNNNNNNNNNNNNNNNNNNNNNNNNNNNNNNNNNNNNNNNNNNNNNNNNNNNNNNNNNNNNNNNNNNNNNNNNNNNNNNNNNNNNNNNNNNNNNNNNNNNNNNNNNNNNNNNNNNNNNNNNNNNNNNNNNNNNNNNNNNNNNNNNNNNNNNNNNNNNNNNNNNNNNNNNNNNNNNNNNNNNNNNNNNNNNNNNNNNNNNNNNNNNNNNNNNNNNNNNNNNNNNNNNNNNNNNNNNNNNNNNNNNNNNNNNNNNNNNNNNNNNNNNNNNNNNNNNNNNNNNNNNNNNNNNNNNNNNNNNNNNNNNNNNNNNNNNNNNNNNNNNNNNNNNNNNNNNNNNNNNNNNNNNNNNNNNNNNCACGCUGCUGCCCGCGCCCCCUCGCUACUCCGCCGGCGCCCGCUCGUCUCGCCGCCACCUCACUCCGGCGCCGCCCCGCCGACAAGCCUCGACGCCGCCCCUGCAGUGCGCCGCCCCGCAGCGCCGGCCCCUCCGUCGUCGCCGGCGAGUAACACCGUCGCCAACACUACCUCCGGCCGCCGCCUCGUCAUCAACUCCGGCCGGCGUCCUCCUCAUCUCUGGCGAGGAACCCCGGCGAUCCUCGAGAAACGCACCCGGAACCCUAGAUCUGGAUUCCGAGAGGGUAUAUUUCGCCCAAGUCCCAAAACCCCCUUAUGAUUUAUGCCCAUGUUCAUUGCAUCACAUCUCGGUGACCGUAGCUCUAAAUCUGGCAUAUGAUAUAUCGAAUUGUUCGUCUCGUCGAGCUCUUCACGUUAGAAGCAUUUCCAUGCCUGUUACUGUCUGUUUUGAUGCCAUUUUCAUUGAUGCAAGAGUGCUAUAAAAUGUUUACUGCUGUUACUUAUCAGAUUAUGAUGUUUUGUCAUUUUUGUUGCAUUUGAUGUGUGCAUCCUAUGAGCAUGAGCUCUACAGUGUUUUGAACUAUGCCAUGCCAUCUUUACAGAGGUGCUUACCAUGUAUUUUUGUGAUCUAUGUGGGGACUAGCACAAGCAUGCAUAGUAGCCUCCACAACGUUGCUGUUUUCAGGGACUUAGGAUUCUGCUAAGUCCUUUUCCUGCUGUUAUUUUCAUGCCAUGUAAACUUGAUGCUACAGUGAGAUCCAUGCUUAUUUUGAGAUACUUCAGUAAGUAUGUUUUGAACAUGUGCUCAUGCUCUAUCCAUCAAUGCCAUUGUUUGCAAUUAUGGUGUGCCCUAGCAUGUCUUGUUCUUGCUCUACUUUUGCUAUAAAAUGUUCCUGGCAGAAUGUUAACAUGUUAAUCCAUAUUGCCAUGGUUGUUGCUAGUGAUACAUGCAUCCUAUGAAGUUUCUCUUGCCAUGGUUAGCUUCAUGAACAUGCAAUCUUGCUAUUGGUAUGCUUACAUUGUCACACAAUGCUUUCUGGUGAGUGGCAUGAGCCUGCAAAAAUGCCUUCAUAAUUCCAUUUAUGCCAUGCUCUGUUUUCUGCUAAGUCUGAAACUAUUAAUAAAACUUGCUAUGUUUAUAUGGGUGCCAUCAUAUCUUCUGUGCCUUUUUGGCUCAUGUUCAGUAACGGACUUUUGUCCUAUGCGUCUAGUAGAUUCAUUCUAUGCCUUGUUUUGCUAUGUUAUGUUCCUGUAGCAUGCUGGUUGCUUGCUCUAAACAUUGCUACCUGAUGCUGUUUAUGCCAUGUUCAGUAUUUUCACCAAGUGUGUGAAGCUGAUAUCUUUUGCUCUUUUGCCAUGCUUGUUUGAACCUGUUAUUUUGUGAUCUAGCCGUAGCUCAGUGUUCAUAUUUUGUCAAGAAUCUCUUGCAAAUCACUGUAAUAUGCUUUGUUGCUAUGUUGGAGUGCAGUAGCUCAGUUUCUUGUCGCAUUCUAGAUGGCAUCAUGCUGUUAAUCACAGAAUUGUGUCAUUCUUGUUUUGCUUGCCAUUUGCAAACCGUGCAUCCGUUUCCAGUGAUCUUUAUAUCGAUUUCGACCGAAAUCAUAUCAUCUUUCCAGCGGCAUACUUGGUUUGCCAAGUUGAUUCCUUGUUCAUCCUUUUCCUUCCGGAGCAGGCAUAUGCAUUGCAUAUCACAUCUCGCAUAUCAUGCCAUGUAUUGCAUCAUGUUGCUUGUGCAUUGCACCGUGAUUGAUUGUGGUUCCAUUGCUUGUGUUCUUGCUUUGCGUAGAGCCGGGAGAUGAAUACGUGAAUGAGGAACCUAUUGAGUACGCUAACGAGGAUCAAGCUUUCGACAGCUCUGAGACUUUGCAGGCAAGAUGACCAUACCCCCGAUAUCACUUCUAUCUUUGCUUUGCUAGUUGUUCUCUCUAUCGCUAUGCUUGCGCUACCUACCACUUGUUUAUCAUGCCUCCCAUAUUGCCAUGUCAAGCCUCUAACCAUCCUUUCCUAGCAAACCAUUGUUUGGCUAUGUUACCGCUUUUGCUCAGCCCUUCUUAUAGCGUUGCUAGUUGCAGGUGAAGAUGAAGUUGGUCCCAUGUUGAAACAUGGAUAUCUUGGGAUAGCACAAUAUCUUUUAUUCAAUUAAUGCAUCUACAUACUUGGUAAAUGGUGGAAGGCUCGGCCUUAUGCCUGGUGUUUUGUUCCACUCUUGCCGCCCUAGUUUCCGUCAUACCGGUGUUAUGUUCCUUGAUUUUGCGUUGCUUACGCGGUUGGGUGUUAUGGGAACCCCUUGACAGUUCGCCUUGAAUAAAACUCCUCCAACAAGGCCCAACCUUGGUUUUACCAUUUGCCUACCCAAGCCUUUUUCCCUUGGGUUCCGCGGACUCAAGGGUCAUCUUUAUUUUAAACCCCCGGGCGAGUGCUCCUCUGAGUGUUGGUCCAACCUGUCAGCCGCCGGUGGUCACCAGGUGUCAGUGUCAAAACUGGCGGAUCUCGGGUAGGGGGUCCCGAUCUGUGCGUCUAAGGCAAAUGGUAACAGGAGGCAAGGGACACGAUGUUUUACCCAGGUUCGGGCCCUCUCGAUGGAGGUAAAACCCUACUUCCAGCUAGAUUGGUCUUUAUGAUAUGAGUAUUACAAGAGUUGAUCUACCAUGAGAUCAUAGAGGCUAAACCCUAAGAGCUAGCCUAUGAUGAUUAUGAAUGUCUCUACACUGACCAAACCCUCCGGUUUAUAUAGACAGCGGAGGGGGCUAGGGUUUACAUGGAGUCGGUUACAAAGAAGGAGAUCUACUAUCUGGAUCACCAAACUUGUCUUCCACGCAAAGGAGAGUCCCACCCCGACACGAGACGAAGUCUUGAGUCUUGUAUCUUCAUGGUUCAUCAGUCCGGCCAAAGUAUAUAGUCCGGCUAUCCGGAUACGCCCUAAUCCAGGACUCCCUUAGUAGCCCCUGAACCAGGCUUCAAUGACGACGAGUCCGGCGCGCAGUUUGUCUUCGGCAUUGCAAGGCGGGUUCCAUCUCCGAAUACUCCAAAGUAGAUUAAGGAUCGUGUCGGGCUCUGCGAGAUAAUCCCUGCACUCCACCGUAGAGAGCCCAACACUUCACAAAUCUGAUCCGCUGACAAUAAAAAUUUUCCAACGGCGCACCCUGUGGCCUGGCCCGACACGGACCGGUCUUUCUCAGCCUACCUCGAUAUGUGUUACGAGGCGGUUUCAUUGGCAUGCCUCAUCAGAACAGAGAUCGUUUUCCUCUUAUCGUAGGAUCUGCCAUCAAUACGGGGCGUGCAACCCCACGACGCCUGUUGGUAUGACUCCGUGUUUUUAGGUAAGUCACGUGUGGUCACGCCGAGGACGCUUGAUAUUCACCCUCUUUAUAAAGGGGCCGAGGCCUAUCGCUCUUUUCUACCACGCUUGCGCCGUCUUGCAUUUUGAGUUCCAACACCUGAAGCCCAAGCUUAGGUACUUCGGAUCUUCAAUCAUGUCCGGAUCCAACCUUCACGGUCGGUGGGUGGCCUCCACGGUCACAGAGGAGAAGAUCGCAAAGCUGAGGGAGGUCAAAUAUCUAACCACCGACAUCCAACACAGGCUUCCUGCUCCAGGUCAGGUCAUCCCUACUCCCGAGCCCAACGAGAGCGUCGUAUUUGUUUCUCACUUCCUCCGCGGUUUAGGCUUCCCCCUUGAUCCCUUUGUGAGAGGGCUCAUGUUCUUUUACGGGCUAGAUUUUCAUGAUCUGGCUCCGGACGCCAUCCUUCACAUCUCAUCAUUCAUCAUUGUGUGCGAGGCUUUUCUCCACGUCACCCCACACUUCGGCUUAUGUCUCAAGACCUUCAAUGUAAAGCCGAAGAUGAUUGAAGGGCGACACGCGGAGUGCGGAGGUGUUGUAAUAAGCAGGAAUGCCGACACCCCCUGGCCAGUGGGCUCCUUCCCAGAGGUAUCCGAUCUAUGGCAGCGGAGGUGGUUUUACAUUGCGGGGCCAAUGUAGGACGGGAUUGGGGGCCUGAUAAUGAUGUACCAACAUUGCGGGGCCGCAUCCGGGAUCUUCUUGAGAGGGACAUUAGCCUUGUCAGCAUAAUUCAGGUGAUGCUAGUCCGGCGGAUGUUGCGAUGCAAACGCCGGCCUCUUCGGAUGUGGGAGUUCAAUCCGGAAGGUGCGCGGACCAUUCUGCACUUCUUCGUCUUGACGCUCGAAGGGAUGUGUAAGUUAUUCUUCGGACCACAAGUAAAAUGUUCGGACACCACCGAGGAUGCGGGCCUGAGCUGCAACCGCCCAGACACCCAAGUAAGUAACCCAGAAACCGAACACCUUAUUUAUAUUUAUCAUAACACGAUUCUGAAAAAUUCUUCGUGGCCAGGAAUGGCUCAGCAAGGCAGAGAGAAUCAGGUGUCCGGCGCCACUUCCCGAGGGCUCGCCUAGUUCCGCCAUAGCCAAGAUGCUUGGUCGUGUACUAAGUAAAGUGCCCUCGGGGAAAGGCGAAGGGAAGAACAGAGAAGCAGAACUUCACACAUUGCACAUCCAAACCGGGGGAAUGGCUACCUCCCCAAAGGAGGAUAGUCGGGAAGGGGAAUCUAAGGCCUCCUCCCCUCACGGGAAGAAGAGGGCCGCCUCCGAAGACUUGGAGACGGAGGUGCCCAGAGAAGGGAAGAAAACCUCACCGGAGGGCCCUGCCCCGAAGGGCGUCCUCACCGCGCCAUGCCCGCAAAUAGGCCAGCCCUCAACUGAGCCGUAAGUUAAUCAUAAAUACAAAGCUAGUGCUUCCUCCUCCGAGAAUAGUAACCAGGAUUCAUUCUUUGCAGUCCGGCAAGCGGUUCUUGUCGACAGAGUUCGUCUUCGGGGGAUCUUCUUCCAGAGAUGAUGGAGAGUGAAACCCCACCAACCUCUCCGCCUCAUGAGGCGGGCGACCCGGAGGUGUCGUCACGGAGAGGUCCGGAUUCGCCGAGGUCAGAAGCUAGCGCUUCGGCCGCCCUGAGCCCGGAGCGUUUGGCUCCUACGGGGGGCGAUAAGAAAGGUCCGGCAUAGUUCGGCGAUCGGUCGGAUACGCUGACGGGUCUUCUGGAGCGAGCUGCUCUCUCGGAGGAUCAUCGUUCAUUGAUGAGCACGGUGCUUGAGAAGAUUUCAUCCGCCACAAGCGGGUUGAAUGAGGCUUUUACAAGCCUGCUCAGAGGCUUUGAGGUAUGUAACGAAAUAUAUAAUUUCUUUGAUUGGCGCACGCGCUAGGUGUGCUCCAUAUGUAUAGUAGCCCCUGAGACUCUGGUUGUCAGCCCAAGGCGGCAAACGGAGGAUCACACCGUUGGGUAAUGAUCAUACUAUGUGUAUGCACAGGUGACGAAGGGUCCGGCAGCCGACCAGUCGAUUGAACUCGCCGAAGUAAGGCGACAGAUUGGAGUUGUUGAUGCCGAUAUCACACUUGUGAACCAGCGGCUUAACGAGUCACAAGGUAUGUGCUCUGCUUUCCUUAUGGGAAAAACUAAGAGGAGUAUUAUAUUAAUGUUCUAUACUUGGACUGUAGACGGAGCUGCUGCCGUGGAAGCCCUGAGGGCAGAACUUGCCCUGGCCAAGGAACAAGCCCGGGCCAGCAAUGCGGCUGCCCUAAAGGCGGCCGAAGAGUUGAGAGCCGAACAGGCUGCUUGUUGCUGAAGCAAAGAAAAAAUAGCCGAGAUGGCUGUGGAGUUAAAAAAAUGCCGCCGACCGUUAUGAGCUCCUUGAAAAGGAGAAGAAGGCUAAUUCGGCUGACCUGAAGAAGGCCCUUGAUGUGGCCAAGGAGACGCGUUCCGAAAUUAGGGAUGCGCGGGAGGAGCUUUGACAGGCCGGAGAAAUCGCGGCUGGAAACCCCUAUUUGUUGUGGAUGAAGUUCUUAGAUCCGAAGUAUGUUCCUCUGGAUCAACGAUGGAGCCCUUCAGACGCGUAUGCGGAUCUGGCGAAGAGUGCGGCUGACGCGGCCAAGUUUCUCGAGGAUCGGAAGGAUAUGAAGUGGAAAAGUUGUUCUGGUUGCAAUUCAAUACUCCAACGCGCCCGUUGCCAUUGAGCGAGAAGAUGGCUGCUAUGGCCGAGCUCCAUAGGUUGUCCGGUCUUGCAAUGAGGUCUGUAAUAGACCAUCUAUGGCCGAAUGGGCCGAAGCCGGACAGUUAUUUUGGUUUAGUGCAACAAUUCCUUGGUGUCGUGUCGCGAAUCGAUGCCAUGAAAAGGUCGGCGUGCAUAGAGGGUGCACGGAUGGCUCUUGCCCGCGCUAAGGCAUAUUGGACAGAUAUGGAUGCCACCGUUAUUGCAACCCAGAGUCCGGCGGGAAGCCAGGAACCUGCCGAGCAUGUCUUGGAGCAGGUAGCAGAAGGUGCUCGUUUAAUAGAGGCUGAGUGCUCGAAGAGUGUCAUGUUCAAGUGACAACUUGUUUUAUUGUAAAAACAACUUUAAUUAUGAGUCUAUGUUUAUACUUGUUGCCCGAAAGUGUUAUUGUGCCUCCUGUGCGGCCGUUUUAUGCAUAUAUGUAAUCUAAAAGAUAGCAGUCAUUUGCUUCAGCCCCCACGCGUACAAUGCGGGGGUGUUCGCGAAAAUGUGCGUAAUCACACUUUAUCCAACGUCUUGGUCCGUUAAGGAGGUGAUCGCACGGCGAACUAGGCAACCGGACUAUAUAGCUGUAACACUUUCACUUAGCCAUAGGAGUUUGACGGUGGGGCUACUAUGUAGCCCGUUGUACCUUUGCGUGCAUCCAAAUACGGGCACAUAUGUACAUGACCGGGAAACGGUCCUUCGUUAAUGCGGAGGAAUCCUAAAGAUUCCGAUAAGUCAUCGAGUGGUUGAACAGUCUCUCGUUGUAUCAUGACAGUCAGUUUUCGGCUUUCUCUACUGCGGUGAUCAUUCGGAAUAACCAGGGCACAAUCGCAGUAGUUCUCCUUUGGCCGCCUUAGCCGAUAAGAACGGAACGUAAGGCAGCAAACCCAGGAGCCGGGCAAACCAAACAUUUGACCAAAGACAUGAUUUGGAACUGAUGCAUAUAAGGCCAAACCCGCGACGCCGAACACUCCCGAAGGUAUUCGGACUUUAUAACAUAUACCGGGCUGAGUAACGCCCUUUAUUAUGAACCCUGUAUUUCCAGGUACUUGCAUUAGUCUGUCGUGGCGAAAUGCCAAUAACGGCAGUAUACUCCCAUGGGAUGUGUAAGCAACAAGAGACAGUAAAUUAGAUUUACACAUGGGCUUAAUCUAAAGAGAAACCUUUGAGUGGGGCCCUGCUGCACGUCUGCGCCUUUGUCUCCGGUGUGCCGUGUCCUGGAAGGGUGUCGCACGAAUGGUGUCUGUAAAAAAGAAAAACUCAUGUAAAAGAGUAUAAUGUAAGCAUGCGAAGAUUGGGCUAUCACCGAUGGAUAGAAAGAGUGUAAGAUAUUGGCCUGUUACUAAGGUCAAGGCAAGGGUUGGGCGUUAUGAAAUAUCUAUAGCCCCUGGUGUCCUCUAUGGGAUUAGAUGUGUGGUACCUGGAUCAGGUUUAUCUAGGUUGCCGGACUCAUCUAACCGUGUCCGUGGUCUUAACGACCAGUACUGCGUUCUAGUAUUAGAGGGCGCUUAGAGUCCGGCUGCUGGAGCCGCCGCAUACUCUUCCGUGCGUAGGGAACGCUCCGUCUUUCCGUUGACAGUGAUGACGCCACGUGGACCGGGCAUCUUGAGUUUAAGACAGGCGUAGUGAGGUACUGCGUUGAAGCGGGCGAAGGCCGUCCUCCCGAGCAAUGCGUGAUAACCACUUUGGUGGGGGCGAUGGUGAAGAGUAGUUCUUCGCUUCUGAAGUUACCUGGGGAACCGAAUGUCACCUCUAGUACAAGGGAGCCCCUGCAGUGAGCUUCAACGCAUAGUAUCACCCCUUCAAAGGUGGUGGCACUUUCGCUGAUUCUGGAUGGGUCUAUCCCCAUCCUACGGACAGUGUCCUGGUAUAUUAGAUUAAGAAUACUGUCGCCGUCCAUGAGGACGCAAGUAAGAUGGUAUCCGUCGAUUAUUGGGUCGAGCACCAAGGGAGCUGAUCCUCCGUGCCGCAUACUAGUCGGGUAGUCCCUUUGAUCGAAGGUGAUCGGGCACGCCGACCAGUGGUUAUUGGUGGCAACGGGCUUUAUAGCGUAUGCGUCUCUGAGCGCGCGUUCGCGCCUUCUCGUGGUUAUGUGAGUUGCGUGGAUCAUGUUUACUGUUUUUACCUCUGGUGGGAAUUCUUUCUGUCCCCCAGUGUUCGGUUGGCGAGGCUCAUCCUCGUCUUCACUUGGUGUGUCCCUUCCCUUGUGUUCGGCAUUUAAUUUGCCGGCCUGCUUGAAGACCCAGCAUUCUCUGUGAGUGUAGUUCGCAGGUUUUUCGGGGGUGCCAUGAAUUUGGCAUAGUCUGUCCAGGACUUUGUUCAGGCCGGAUGAUCCCUCUUUGCUGCCUUUAAAUGGCUUCUUUUGUUGACCGGGCCGAGAGCCCCUAAAUCCGGCGUUUUAUUGCGCCAUCGCUUCCCGUUGCCAUCCCUAAUUUCGGAUGUACUUGGGUCGCUGGUGCCUCUACGGGCCAACCAGCUGUCUUCACCCGCGCAAAAGCGGGUCAUAAGGCUUGUUAAGGCUGCCAUUGUCCUCGGCUUUUCUUGGCCGAGGUGUCUGGCGAGCCACUCGUCUCGGAUACUGUGCUUGAAAGCCGCUAAGGCUUCGACAUACGGACAAUCGACAAUUUGAUUCUUCUUAGUGAGGAAUCUGUUCCAAAGUUUGCGGGCGGACUCUCCGGGUUGUUGGAUUAUGUGACUUAAAUCGUCCGCGUCCGGAGGUCCGACGUAAGUCCCUUGAAAAUUGGCCCUGAAGGCAUCCUCUAGUUCCUCCCAACUUCCGAUUGAAUUUUCGGGGAGGCUUUUCAACCAGUGCCUAGCUGGUCCCUUCAACUUGAGGGGAAGGUAUUUGAUGGCAUGGAGGUCGUCCCCACGAGCCAUGUGGAUAUGCAGGAUAAAAUCCUCAAUCUAGACCCCGGGGUCUGUCGUUCCGUCAUAUGCCUCUAUGUUCACAGGUUUAAAGCCUUGUGGAAAUUCGUGGUCCAGUACCUCUUCGGUGAAGCAUAGGGGGUGAGCAGCCCCUCUGUAUCUGGACGUGUUGUGCCAUGUCGCCGGCUGUUGUUGUGUCCGGUGCUGAUUCCGAACUGGUACUCGAUCAGUCCGAUCGUUUUUAUAACCAUUGUACUGCGCUGGGGCGUAUCCUCUAGAUCCGUAGAUGGACCUAGUCGCGCCGGCCUUUUUGUCUAGGAGCCCACGUAGAUCGUGCGCGGCGUCAGUAGCUGUUCUAUUAUGGUUAUGGGGAGGUUGGUCUGGCCGUCUGCCUGUAUUUUUAUUCGGUAGAACGGCUUCGUCGUCGAAUUCUGGCAGCAGCUUGCGCUUUGGGUAGCUCUUUGUGUGGCGAUCAUCACCGUAUUUUUCUUGAGUGUCUAGCACUUUAUUCCAUCUGCGAUUGAGCGUUUCCUGUGCGGCUUUAAGCCUUUGCUUCUGCUUCUUUAGACUUCUCGCAGUGGCCAUGAGCCUUCUGUGGAUGUUAUCUGGUUCCCCACGUGCUUCUAGGAUGAUGAAUGCAUCGUCGUCGUCAUCCGGACCGUUCUCCUGUCCCGGGGUGGUUUGAUGAGUUCGUCCCUCGGGAUCACUGUGAUCGGGUGUCUGCUCCGGGCUCUGUUCGGCGUGACCUGGCUCAUCCCGCUCCAUCGCUGGGUCCAUAUGGUCGUUGUUGCCUUCAGAGUUGACUGGGGUGUCGAUCUUUCUAGCUCUGUUAUCGCUAUGCUUACUAUGGCUGGACUUAGAGCGGCGUCUGCGUCGUCGUUUUGGCUUUUGUCCGGGGGUUUUAUCCUCCGUUUUGUCGCCGUCGCCCUCCUUAGGAGUAUCCACCAUGUAUAUAUCAUAUGACGAGGUGGCAGUCCAGUGCCCCAUUGGUGGUGGUUCCGAAUCGUCUUCUGUGCCGACGUCCAUACCAACGGUGUCAUCAGAGUCGAAGUCAAGCAUGUCUGUUACGUCGUCGACAGUGGCUAUGAAGUGGGUGGUGGGUGGGCAACAAAUUCCCUCGUCGCCUGCUUCCCACUCGAGCCGGACAUAGUUCGGCCAAGAGUCUCCUGACAAAGAGAGAGACAUUAAUGAGUUCAGCAUGUCGCCAAAGGGUGAGUGCUGGAAAAUAUCCGCAGCGGUAAACUCCAUUACCGGAGCCCAGCCGGAAUCGGCGAGCUCGGUGGCGCGCGGUCUGGGACCUACAGCCGGACACAUGUCCAGGGGUCCGGAGUCACAUGCUUCCUUGGGGGUGAAGUCUGUGUUCGGCUCUACCGCCGAUGAGCGUGCGACCUCCGGGGCGGGGUCCAUCCACCCGUCCUCGGACGACGUAAUCUGCCCCGGAUUUAGGUCCGGGGCUUCUGCAGGUGCGAUACCCUGAGUGUUGUCCGACAGCUGGUCGGAACCAAGCUCGUCAUGACUGUUCGGCGCUCCUGGCGCAGGCCCGAAUCCGUUGGAGAUCAAUUAUCCACGGAUAUCGGCCGUGUAGUUCAAGUUUCCGGACCUGACCUGAUGGCUAGGGGCGUAGCUCUCGAUCUGCUCCAGAUGGCCAAGCGAAUUGGCCCGCAGUGCGAAGCCGCCGAACACGAAGAUCUGUACGGGGAGAAAGGUUUCACCCUAGACCGCGUUGUUGUUGAUGAUUUGAAGGAGCCAUCGAGCCUUACAGCGACGACACGGAGGAACUCUGAAUGAAAGCACCAAUGUCGGUGUCAAAACCGGCGGAUCUCGGGUAGGGGGUCCCGAUCUGUGCGUCUAAGGCUAAUGGUAACAGGAGGCAAGGGACACGAUGUUUUACCCAGGUUUGGGCCCUCUCGAUGGAAGUAAAACCCUACUUCCUGCUUGAUUGAUCUUGAUAAUAUGAGUAUUACAAGAGUUGAUCUACCACGAGAUCGUAGAGGCUAAACCCUAAGAGCUAGCCUAUGAUGAUUAUGAAUGUCUCUACACAGACCAAACCCUCCAGUUUAUAUAGACACCGGAGGGGGCUAGGGUUUACACCGAGCCGGUUACAAAGAAGGAGAUCUACUAUCCGGAUCGCCAAACUUGUCUUCCACACGAAGGAGAGUCCCACCCGGACACGGGACGAAGUCUUCAGUCUUGUAUCUUCAUGGUUCAUCAGUUCAGCCAAAGUAUAUAGUCCGGCUAUCCGGAUACCCACUAAUCCAGGACUCCCUCACCAGGGGCAACUCUGGGCUGGCCUAUCGGAAGUUUGGACAAUCCGGUGUGCCCUAAGAACGAGAUAUGUGCAGCUCCUAUCGGGAUUUGUCGGCACAUUCAGGCGGCUUUGCUAGUCUUGUUUUACCAUUGUCGAAACGUCUUGUAACCGGGAUUCCGAGACUGAUCGGGUCUUCCCGGGAGAAGGAAUAUCCUUCGUUGACCGUGAGAGCUUGUGAUGGGCUAAGUUGGGACACCCCUGCAGGGUAUUAUCUUUCGAAAGCCAUGCCCGCGGUUAUGUGGCAGAUGGGAAUUUGUUAAUGUCUAGUUGUAGAGAACUUGACACUUGACUUAAUUAAAAUGCAUCAACCGCAUGUGUAGCCGUGAUGGUCUCUUUUCGGCAGAGUCCGGGAAGUGAACACGGUCUGGGUUAUGUAUGAACGUAAGUAGUUUCAGGAUCACUUCUUGAUCACUUCUAGCUUCUCGACCGAUGCGUUGCUUCUCUUCUCGCUCUUAUUUGCGUAUGUUAGCCACCAUAUAUGCUUAGUGCUUGCUGCAGCUCCACCACAUUACCCCUUUCCUACCCACAAGCUUAAAUAGUCUUGAUCUCGCGGGUGUGAGAUUGUUGAGUCCUCGUGACUCACAGAUUCUACCAAAACAGUUGCAGGUGCCGAGGAUACCAGUGCAGGUGAUGCAACCAAGCUCAAGUGGGAGUUCGACGAGGACCUUGGUCGUUACUAUGUUUCGUUUCCUGAUGAUCAGUAGUGGAGCCCAGUUGGGACGAUCGGGGAUCUAGCAUUUGGGUUAUCUUCUUUUCAUUUGCACUUGACCGUAGUCGGUCUAUGUGUGUAUUUUGAAUGAUGUAUGAAUUUAUUUAUGUAUUGUGUGAAGUGGCGAUUGUAAGCCAACUCUCUUUAUCCCAUUCUUGUUCAUUACAUGGGAUUGUGUGAAGAUGACCCUUCUUGCGACAAAACCUACAAUGCGGUUAUGCCUCUAAGUUGUGCCUCGACACGUGAGAGAUAUAGCCGCAUCGCGGGCGUUACACAAACACACGUCCACGGACCCGUGAACAGGCUGUACAUGGACACGGGAAAAAAGCGGCUGACCCCGUCGUGGAUGGAACUAGACGCGCGCCAUGGAAAACAAUGCUAAACCACGUAAUUCGCACACACACACGUACACGGACGUUACACGGACCCGUGAACGGGCGGUACAUGGACACGGGAGAAAAGUGGCCGACGCCCGUCGUGGACGGAACCGGACGCGCGCCAUGGAAAACUGGGCAAAACCACGUACGAGGCACACACACGUACACCGACCCUUACACGGACCNNNNNNNNNNNNNNNNNNNNNNNNNNNNNNNNNNNNNNNNNNNNNNNNNNNNNNNNNNNNNNNNNNNNNNNNNNNNNNNNNNNNNNNNNNNNNNNNNNNNNNNNNNNNNNNNNNNNNNNNNNNNNNNNNNNNNNNNNNNNNNNNNNNNNNNNNNNNNNNNNNNNNNNNNNNNNNNNNNNNNNNNNNNNNNNNNNNNNNNNNNNNNNNNNNNNNNNNNNNNNNNNNNNNNNNNNNNNNNNNNNNNNNNNNNNNNNNNNNNNNNNNNNNNNNNNNNNNNNNNNNNNNNNNNNNNNNNNNNUACACGGAACAGUGAACGGGCUGUACGUGGACACGGGGAAAAAGGGGCCGAGACCCGUCGUGGACGGAACGGGACGUGCACCAUGGAAACUGGGCAAAACCACGUACGAGGCACACACACGUACACGGACCCAUGAACGGGCCGUACGUGGACACGGGAAAAAAGCGGCUGACGCCCGUCGUGGACAGAACCGGACGCGUGCCAUGGAAAACAUGGCAAAACCACAUACAGGGCACACACACGUACACGGACCCGUGAAGGGGCUGUACGUGGACACGGGAAAAAAACUGGCCGACGCCUGUCGUGGACGGAACCGGACGCGCGCCAUGGAAAACGGGGCAAAACCACGUAUGAGGCACACGCACGUACACGGACACGUGAACGGGUACGAGAGGUCCGGGAGAAAAAAGGACCAUACGCCAUGGUAACCGGGUCAAAACUAGCUAAUGAUGGUCAAGAAACGGUGCCAUGGCAGCGAAAACAUGUCUCAUGGCAGAAAAACGCUGCCACGGCAGCGUUACAAAACAGUGUACCCCUCCUUCACAAAAUGAGGGGCAGAGGUCCCAAUGGGGGCUAAAACUCUCGAGUAUAGUAGGGAGGAGGGGUCCUUCCUGGUGGGCGUACGGAACACGGUUAGUUUUUCUUAGGAAAAACACCCGUUUUCUCGUACGCCCAUCCUUUCCCAACGUUGCCUCGGAUGUCCCAUUGUUAUGCCAUCACGAAGGUGCUGGCCCGGUCCCGUGUACGUCUCGUGAGAAAUCCUGACACUACAGCCCAACGUGGCUCGGGAAACAGGAAAGUACCCCGUUACGUACACGAUCCGACCAACGGUAAAGAGUCGCAACGGUGUCCCUCAAAUGUCGCCUCCGGAAAACCGUUGCCCCUCGGGGGCAACAUCAUCGAUGUCCCGGUCCCCUGUACGUCUCAAGUGAAAUUCUGACCCAACAGC